rnacentral:lncRNA from 1 species
UUGAACAAAUAAGCAGUAAGGCUCUAUAGGACACAACACCAAGGAAGAUUAAAGAGUACAGCUAGCAAUCUUGCAAAAGUGCAGCCUAAAUGACUUAUAUGUGUAAAACAAAAUUGUGAUUUUUGCAUAUAUCCCAUUUUAAAAGGAUAAGAAAAAAGAAAAACAUGUCAACCAUGUACCAUCAUUUAAGCAUUGCAAUUUAAGUCAGCAUUAUCUUCUAUUUUAUCAAUGACAAAAUUUUGCAACUUGACAAGCAUCAUGUCUUUGUUAUAUUAGAAGCUCAAAGCUCGAGUGCCCAACUAAUAGGUGUUGCCAUAUUAAUUUUGAUUGGUGAUCAUGAACUUUUACUUAAACUAGAUUAUUAAGUGGAUGAAGAUCAUCCAACCUGGACAGCAUUUAAAGGAACGUUGCCAGAGGAGACAGCAGCAACAACAUUAAUAAUAAGUGCUGCAACGUUGACAGUCAGCUGGAACUGGAUAAAUUUUUGGAUAUUUGCAUACACAGAACGACCCCAACGGACAACCUGGAACAGCAGGGUAAAGAAAAAGGAAAGAGAAAAAAACAAAGAAAUCAUAUCAGUCAAUGUGGAACAACAUAAGCUUAAGCUGAAGCAAGAUUUCACUUAAUUUAGCAUUACCGUAAAGAUAAACACACAAGUACCUUUACAACCGAUGCAAAGUUGUCGUCAAGGAUAAUGAUGUCUGAGCUUUCUUUAGCUACUUCGGUUCCCUGAAUGCCCAUAGAAAGACCAAUAUCUGCCUGCAAACCAGAAACAUCAAGAAUAAGUGAUCAUACAAGACGACCUGAACACCUCAGAGACAUGAAUAAAGACCUCAUGCAAUGCAGGAGCAUCGUUAGUGCCAUCCCCUGUUACAGCAACAACAUGACCUCUUUUCCUCAAUGCUUGAACAAGCAGCAGUUUGUCACUCGGAGAAGACCUCCCCAUCACCUGUAAAGAAAUCAGGUUUAGGUAAAUAACCAUUUGACAGGUAAUGUAAUGAUAUUUAAGACUGAUAGCAGGAAGCAGCAGUGUCUUGUUCAAUGAGAAGCAAUAGGCACAACAUAUCAAAUCAAAUCAUCGAAUGUAAACUAAAGUAGAUCAGGAAUGUUUCGAAGGAGAAGAAUUACAGAGAUAUUGAAGCAUCUGAAGCAAAGAUCCUAGUAAAGAUUGAGAAAACAUUUGUAUAUAACUAAUCUUAUAAAUCAUUGAAUUACAGGACGAGUUCUACAGUUAACAUCUAUUUAGUAAAAGUAUUGACAUGCUACAGAGAUUCACAUUAUGCCAUUUCCAUGUGGUAAUUAUGUAUAGCAUAAAACAUUUUACAUGUUUAAACAUCCAACUAAAUUAUGAUUGCAGCACUAGAUGAGCACAAUAUGAAAACAAUAUGCUUUAUAUAAGUUAACACAAAUAAGGAUACAGAUAGACAAUUGCUUGUAAUGCUUGAAACACUUCGAAUAGAUUUAAGAAAUAUCAUUGUGUGUACAGUUACGACAAAUUGGCAUGCUAUAUCUAAAAUUGCCAAGCAAGAAGAAGCCUAAAAUGUUUAGGUUUGUCUUAUUUAUAUGUACACAAUUAACAAUAACAAAUUAGUAGCCUUAAACAUAACCUUGAUUAGUAACUAUAAGUGAGCAAAAGGCUCACAUAAUAUGAAAUAGCUUAGAAAGUCAAUCAUUCUAACACAGGAAUAAGUUAAAUGAGGAUGAAAUUGUCCCAGUUUUUGUUGGCUAUGAAAAGAAAAAAAAAUGUAAAAAGUAAAAACAAACAUAACCCUACAAAGAUUUGCACAGAAGGACUGGGGACGUGAAUUAUGAAGCAUCUUAAGAUAAUCUGAGAAAUGGAAUUGAAAAUAUAUAUAUAGGGAGAAAAGCCUAACUUUGUUUCCUUAGAUUAUUAACAAUUAGUCCCAUACAAUGAAGGGGUUUAAUAAAAACAGAUUCUCUAUUUUGUUACCCUACCAUUCUCUGAGGAAACACAAGGCAAAUAAUCAUAAGCAUUAGUAAAAAAGAAUAUUUAACUUACAGUUAUUUUUUCAGCAAUCGCAUCUCUUUCUGCAUCAGUCUUGGUCCGAAAUGUUUUUCCCUCUAUAAUAACUGGCUCUUGUGCAUUGGCAUCCCCAAGUAUCCCACACUCCAAGGCUAUAGCUUUAGCAGUCCGAAGAUUAUCUCCAGUAACCAUGCGGACCUAUCAUACACAAAUGGAAAUUCAAAGUCGAAAUUAUGAACAAUUCAAUUUAAAAAACAAGGUGGGUCCCAUACAACUUUCUGGAUGAUCAAAGAUUAUAUGCAUAGAUAGAGUUGAGACCAUUGAAAAAUGAAGCAAAAGUUUGUCUACUUUUGUCAAUGUAAAGAGCAACCCUGUAAAAUGUCAGUUACCUAGUAAUAUAUGAGAACAAAUAUCAUCAUUAUCAGUCAUAGAAACCGAUUUUAUAUUUACAACUAGUACUCUAGUCCAUUGAGGUCAAAGAUUUUUUAUGGAAUAAAGCACCAGUUAUGGAGCCAGUACCAUGCAUGUGACCAGCAUUAAUAAUUGCACAGAAUAAUACACACACUGGUAAACCAUGGCAAUGGGUGACUGGCAUGGGCACAUCAUGCCACCCUUGAAAUUUAAUUAAAUUACAAUGCACGAUAAAGAAUAACUGGAAGUACCUUGAUACCAGCACGGGUACACAAGUCUACAGCCGCUUUGACACCAGGUCGACAAGGAUCCUGAAGUUGUCAAAAGAAGUUAAAAAAAUACAAUCAGUUUCUAAAAGAAAUAAAUGAUAUAAGAGGUCAAAUGCAUGUUAGCAUUUCCUAUGCCACCGAAGAUGGAUGGUUAGCUGUAAUAAGCUAGAAUUUGAGAUAGAACGGGUAUUGAGAAGCCAAAUAAAUAAUAUCACAAUGACCAAUUAAUUCACUAUAAAGUAAGGAUGCCAAUAUAAUAGCCUAAUCAGUUGGGAAAAUUCUUGAUUUGUAAUAAAAUUUGGAUCAGGUUGAUACAAGAGAUGGUUUAAUGAUCAAAUGUCAUAUAACCAGUAUCAAAAGCUCCAAAGAUAUAAUAUGCAAAAAAAUAAUUUUAAUAUUACCAACAUAACAGAAACAAUUGCACAAAAUUUGCAAUCCCUAUAAAGAUCACAUCACACAGGUUGUCCAUUCGAUGUGAUUUUCUGUCUGGUUCAUUGUAUAACUUCAAAAUUAUAUUUUUUUUAGCUACCCAAUAACUUCUUUCUUCAUAAGCAUAUAAUCUAAACAAAUGAGAAAAUAACAUCUGAAGUACUGCCAUAAGCAUAAAAUCUACAGACAUAUGUCCAAUAUCAGCAAGUGGGACCCCCAGUAAUAUCUGAAGUACUGCCAUAAGCAUUUUAUGAUAUGCACCUUAAUCCCUACAAUAGCAAGCAGAAUCAGGUCAUCCUCAGGCAACUGCCAGCUAUCUCUCUGUUCCUCGUUUGGGACCCUCUCCAAUUCAUAUAACCUGUAUGCAAAAGCAAUGCAACGAAGGCUAGCUGCUGCCAUGUCUUCAAUUGUUUUCUUGAAUUCACUAAGCUGCAAUGACAAGAUGAAUUAAAAUAUGCGUUACUUGUAAAUAUGGGAAGGCAAGAACUUGACUUCAUUACCUUGUCUGAUGUCAACGGCUGCUUGAAGCCAUCUGCAUCAAGCCAACUAGUACAUGAGGCCAGGACAAUCUCAGCAGCACCUUUCCAGUGCACAUGAAUGUCAUCACCUCCCUACGACAAGUAGAAAGGAACCCAUGAGAAUAAAACUUGCAAUCUUGAAAUUACUCAUAAAUUAUUUUUAAAUUAUACACUGCAGAUAAAUGCAUGUAGGAAAAAGGAUGUAUUUUAGAACUCUCCAGCAUAAAGAAAAGAACUCACAAAUCAUUCUUAACAGGUGCACUAUCAAUCCUGUAUUUCUAUUAGUGAUAAACGUCAAUACCUGAUACACUGCUACACCACCACGUUUUUUGUCAGAGUUGAAAGGAAAUACAUGAACAAUUGAAGAUUUUGAUCUUGCAUCAUCAAAUAUCAUUCCCAGCUUUGGAAAAUGAGCAGCAAGUCAGCAACUGAUGAGGAAAUAGCUAAAAAAGGAAAAUAACAGCAUAUACAAGAACCAAGAUACCUUAACACCCCAAGAGAGGAUGGCCUUUUCGGUUGGUGAGCCAGUGACAUCAACAACACCAGUCUGUCAACAGACGAUCUAGUCAAAAACUUACAUGUUGCAAAGCAGUGUUUUUAUUGAAUACAUCCAGCAAAAACACAAAAAAGAGACCAAACAUCUCAUUGUCUGGGGGUAAAAAAUGGCAUCUACAGACAUUGAGAAGAUAGCCAAAGAACAAAUGAGAUGCUUGAGAAACAAAGUGUCAUCCUUUAAACAAAAGUGAAGUAUGAAGUAACUCACUACAUUAGUUGUGAAAUUCAAGAAAAAAAUGUUAUCCAAAUAGUUGCACUCAAUGAAGGGUUAGACAGAAGGCUCCAAUAUAAUUACAUUAACAUCCAGGUCAAUCAUCAGGAAGAAAAAAAAAUAUGCUGCUAUCACCAAAUUGUCGAAAGCUUGAGUCUACCCAAUUUACAAGCUAUUUUCUUCCUCGUCCAUUUCUAGAAUUCACAAGCAAAGGCAAAAAAAAAAUUUUCAUAUUAGGGUCCUGUAUCUACUUCCAUUGAAUUCCACUGUGAUUACACAUAAUUCUAAUAGAUGAUGUCUCAUCCUCGACCACCCAGUAAAUUGGCUCAUUAACUACUAAAAAUUGAAAAUUAAAUGAAGUAAUGAGAUUCUUGUACACACAAAAUUAAAUGAAGCACCAUGGCUUCUUCCAGUGCAUCAAUAUUGCAAGCGAUGUUUCUAUUUCUUGAGUUUUGACAUGUAUCAAGCCAAAUCCAUGAGUCAUGACAUCAUUCCAUAUCUCCAAUAACCACUGCUACAAAGCAGAAUCUAUGAAUGGUUCAUGAUGAAGUUUAGAUGCUUCUAAAAUUGUUAAUUAUGGAGUCAAGCACUUGAACGGCAAUUAAACACCAUGAUAAUACAGCUGGAUGAUUAUUUUGGUUCAUUCUAUUUUGCCUGGAGGAAUGUCCAAGUGGAACAAGUAGUGCCUGCUAAAGUGCUAAAGAAAUUUGAAGUAAUGAGCUCUCAUGUCCCUUCGUUUAGUCACCUAAUGACAGCAACUAUUCCAACAAGACCAUCAAAUUACAAUCUUUCUAGGUAUCAAUUGGUACCCACAAGUUGGUUUACACAUCAAAUUAGUAUGAAGAAAUGAAAAGGAUAACAUAACACUUAGUAAGUCUCGAUAAAAAAACUCCAUUUUAAACUUCUAACGUAGCAAACAAGGACAGAACACUUGAUCACACCAAAAGAAAGUAGUUUACCUCUAGCACAAAAACACUGCCAGUUGUGUUCUGAGCGAUUCCCUCAAUUAGAAGAGUGGAUGCAGUAGGAGAUAACAGCUCAGGAUUGUCUGGAGGAUCUAUCUUCCUUCCACCAACAUAAGCCUCCACAACAGUCAUCUAAAAUGUUAAAACUAUACUAAGAAUCGAAUGGCAUUAACCGUUUCAAUCACUUCAUGCAGUUACUGAUUAUACAUAAUGAAAGACUAAGUCUAUGAGAAAGCUGACUGGCAAACCUGAUUCAAAGUCAAGGUUCCAGUCUUGUCACUACAAAUGGUUGUAGCUGAACCCAUAGUUUCACACGCUGAAAGCCUACGUACCUGCGAAUGAUCAACUUAGAACUAACUAGCGUACUUGCGCAUGUAACAGUUUUGCAAUCAUGCAUAAUACAGACACUUACCAGAGCCUUGUCCGCCAUCAUCUUACGCAUUGAGUAAGCCAGGCUGAUAUACUCGAAGAAAUAAAUCAAAUGUGGACAUAAUGAAAAUACAAUAUAUAUUAUGCAAGACGUAAGAAGGGUUAUGCAUAUUUACGUCAAUGUAACAGCCAAAGGAAGUCCCUCAGGUACCGCAACAACCACGAUUGUCACCUACUCAAGUUCAAUAGCAACGGAUGAUAUAGCUCACAAAAGCAAAGAGAUGAAGAAAUGAAAGGGAGUAAAAUACAAGAUGGGUUUAAAUAAAACUUAAUAAUAUUGACAUUACAAAAUACAUACUGCAACUGUCAAGAUCUUAAUGGCUCCAUUUAUAGCAGUCUUUGUACCCGUUUGUCCCUUUAUAAAUUGAACUGAACCAUCAGGAUUCGUUGUAUGCCCAGUAAAGUAUCUGAAAAGAUUUCAAAUAGAGAUUAAGAUUUGCAAAUAUUGUAACCAAACUGUAAAACAAAAUAUUACUUGCCUCGCCAAAAGGACUACGAGAACAGCAGCAGCUACAGUUAGCCCCACCAUGCCAAUGAGAGUAGCAACGCCAUUCAACCGCACCUAUUCCAAACAAAAGGAUUUGAAAAAUAAAAAAUGCAUAAUUUUGAAAUUACAUGAUAAAGAAUGCAUGUGAAACAAACCUGCAGUGGAGUUUCUUCACCAGUAUCCUCUGAUAUACUGGCCAUUAACAAGCCCCAUUCAGUAUUUAUCCCAACUGCAGUUACCUGAAGGCAACAAAAUUAAGUAUAUACUACAGGUACCAUGCUAAUAAUAAAUUUCUAAUUUAUGUGAAAUCAGACCAUCUAAAUAUAUUAACAAAAGUUGAAAUAUUUUAAUAAGUUUGAAUUGAACAUAAAAACCAAGUAUAGUUGUUAUCAGUUGAUAGAAGAGACUCAGCAAAAGCCUUACCAAAGCAAAAAAAACCUUGUGCAUUAGAUUGGUGCCAAAUUUCAAAAUGUUGCAUCAUACUAUCUUUUAAGCACUAAAAUUCAUAAACCCUUAUCGACUGGAGUUCCCCUGGAGUUCAACCUCUAAGACUACCCGGGGCUUGUAAUAAAACUUAGUUUCUCAAAAACCACAAGUAUCUAUUUCAUUUAGUGACAUAUUCUAUCCUACUUGUCCAUAACAUCUUCAACAAACAAAAUAUGGCUUGAAACAAAGUUCCUUUAGAUAAUUGAAAAUCCAUCUCAUGAAUAUUCAUCUUGAUCAGCUAGAUGACAAGAAAGACAUCAAAUCAUAGUUGUAUCGACUGGAAAAAAAAGCUUAAAUGUUGAUUGUAUUAUAACCAGACCUCUCAUACAAGAAAUUGACAUGAAUGCAAAAGGGCUUAAUCUCGCGUACAGAAUAAACUAUCCCUGCUUGCUACAAUCUCUUUUUUUCAACCCACAAGAAAAACGAAAAUGGUUGACAAGACUCCCAACUCCAUAAGUUUAAAGAAAUCACCAACAGGGAUUGCCCAUUGCAAACAGAAGAAAAAAAAUUGUUUUAUCAAGGAGAUUCAUCUCUCUCUUUCACCUUCACUAAAGUCAAACAUGUACAAUAUAUUUUACUAACUCAUUAAUUCAAGAAAGUGAUGUGAAAGCUUAUGCAGCUGUUUGUCUUUAGAAAACAUAAUUCACAAAAGAUGAAAUACACAAGUUAAUGAUCCGACAAAAAUGAAAAGAAAUGAAGAAAUUUAAUUUAUUUGGCAGUCAUUACUAAAACAAGUUAAAGCAAUAUCAUCUCUCAAAGUACACCAACGUAAUGAUCUGAAAGAGAAGAAAAAUCCAAAAGGAAUCAACAAACAAAAUACUUACCAACAUAUCACCAUAACCAUCAGCAACCUUGCAUCCGGACAUUAAGAAUGGAGCUUUUUGAUCUUUGUGGACCUGCAACAAAAAUAUAGUAUUGAGGAACCAUCCCCAAGAAAAAUAAGAUAAACAAGUAGACACAUUCAGAUUUUUCACAAUUACACACACUGUCAACAUUUUUCAUGGGUUACAUUGAAAUAGCUUUAAGAUGUCAAUAUCUGACGAAACAUUUCUAUGAAAGCUAUAAACCAAAUCUUUUUUACUUAGAAUGAUUACUCACUACAUAUUAUAUAUAAAUUGCCUUCAUCUGUUAGAAAAGAGUUGGCCAUUGAACUCAUGGUGUUCUAAUCUUGUGAAGCCAUAUGAGAAAUAUCCAUUUAAAAACAAAUAACAUUAAAUACCUUCUCCAAAAAUGUGAGUUGCUUAAAAGGGUUAGAAUGAUAUAUCGAAAAAGAAAUUUCUGAAUGCCAGAAUAUGAAAAUAAAAGUCACAACAAUGUCAACAAAAAAAGAUAAGGAGAAACUUACAAUUUUGCUCUCCCCUGUCAUACUUGACUCAUCAAUAGCAAGAGAAUGACCAGUUAUUACAACCCCAUCAGCAGGAACCUAGAAGACAUUCAUUCAUUUUGCCUUUUAACAAUGAAAACACAGACAAAACAUAGCAAAAUAGUAUAGUAACUGCAGCACGGCUACCUGAUCGCCAAUCUUAAGAGGAACGACAUCACCAACCACAAGAUCAAAAAUGGAGACUUUAAUUCUUCUACCACUCCUAAUUACCUGAGAUCAUGUGACAACAUAUUAAGGUAGAUGACAAUGAAAAAGAACAGAAAAAUCCAGAACACUUUCAUGGGCACUAGGACUCACCUCCAAUCGUAUGUUUCGCUUCUCCUCAUUCAGAUUCUGGAAUUGUAGUGACUGUCUAUAAUCACUGACCGCUGAAGAACACAAAAGAGUAAAAAAGAACAACACUUAAAAGACGCCAAUGGAUGUUGUUAUAAACCCAAAAUUGAAAUGAACAUUUCUCACGUCACAGGCUAUUUUGUCUUAAAAGACAACAAGGAACACAACCCAUGUUUGCCUCACCACAAAAUUAGAGUAAAAAAUUGAUUACUUAAUGAUAAUGCCUGCAGGGGUUAUCAUGCUGGAUAUUUAGCCGCAGCAUCUGAAUUUCUCUGAGAGGCAAAAGGCACUUACUCCAACGAAAGCCAAAGAACCAAACAUCUCAAUUAUGAUAUAUGACAUGAAGGAGAACAAUUCUAACAACUGAAAUUUAACAAUAUUUUCUUCAACAGAGGUAGAUCAGCAAUGAUAUCAUAGAAAUAAUUACAAAGCAUAAAAAAUAAGUAAUCCUUAAAUUCCACUUUAAUAUUAUCUACCAUAAUUGAGGAUUAGCAUAAUUUAACAGGCUUUGUUGCAUUGUUCAAAUUUGCCAACAGCACUUAUUUCUUCCAUAACCAAAAAGAAUGGCUCAGACCAAGAUGAACAUCCCUGUGACAAGCAGGUGCAUAAGCAUGCAAGCAUUUACUUUUUACACAAUGUAGAAUAAAAUUUUCUGCUCAUUCCAUGUCUAUGCAAGUAAUGAUGAUGGCCAAAGAUUUUCUGUGCAUUCACUAGAACUCAAAUUGCCAAUAAUUCUUAAUAAAAUUGAUCAGCAAACAUUAAAGGCUUCUAAACCAGCUUUCUUCACCUGCUCAACUAUUAACUGCCAGAAGUUCGUGUUCUUUCAUUUACUAAAUUUACGUGAUGAAAUUUUUUCACACACUUAGCAAUCUUCAGAAGUUCUCAAAAUCAUAACUUCAAAUUUUCAACAAUGUCUCGGGGAUAACUUGCUAGCAGUUGUUUCCUAUCAUUUAGGAAGGCUGAAUUGUUUCCUAACAUGCUAGCAGUUGUUGCCAGCAAUACCUUUAAACCUUGCCAUAAUGGUACAGGCACUUGCAGAUGUGUCAUCAGUGCCAACUAAGGACUGAGAGAACUUUUGACAACUAAUGGCUAGCAGCAGUGUGCUGACUGAGACAGCAUCAUGGCCACAUUAGAGGAUAUAAGACUAAAAGUAACUUAAAACAGCAAGAGAAACAUACCUGUGACCACAAUAACCAGAAUAACAGCAAAUGCAAUACUUCCACCGUCAUACCAACCUUCUUUAAUGCCCUGGAUGUGUCACAGAAUAGAACAAAAAUAAACAAGUGACAAACAAAUCAAACAGCAUACCUUUAGUGCCCAUAUUUGUUAGGAGCUUCUUAAGUGCAAUUAGUACAUUGACUUCUACUAAAAGUGGUUUAAGCAGAAGAAAGGGUUAUUGAUGCUUGAAGGACACCAGUAAGUGAUCGCCAAAGUUUUUACCUUCUUAAAAAAUGGUGUUUUGUGAAAUAAUUUCAACAAAAACUCAAUAUGAAGCAAGGCCUACGAGAGUUAAAAUUUAAGUGUAUAGGCCAGGGUAAUAUUACAGUUUGUGGUGUCAUACAAUGUCAAAUGGUAGCAGCAGGUGGUAAGAAAAGAACAAGGAAAGAGUUAUACAGGUAAGAGCCUUUAUUCAAGCAUUCUAUUAGAGGCAAACCUAGGGAAAAUUUUCAGUCUUCUAAUCCAGCAUAUGACAAAGUCAACCUUACCUCUGUCUUUAUGCCCAGCACCAACGAUAAAACUGCGGCUACGAUAAGAAUGACAAGAGUUAAAUCUUGGCAAGCUUCCCAAAGGAAAACCUAAAAGAAGAAGCAUAAAAAUAAAUGUUUAGUUGCCUUGGAAAAAUCAUGUAAUGAAUUGUUAAAUCACAGCAUAACAUACCCAAAAACUCCUUCCUUUCUUUCGAGGAUAAGUGUUUGACCCAAAAAUGUUCCUCCUGUGCAAAAUUUCUGCAUCAUCGCCACUUAUUCCUCUAUCUAUAUUGGUAUUUAGUAAAUCGGAGAGACCUUUAACCUAAAGCAAUGGCCGAAUGAUGACUCAAUUGAUGUAGCAAAAGAUACUCAUUAACAAGAACCACUUCCUUAAAAAGAAUUACCUACCCCACCAUAUUCUUGUAGAGAUGAGAAAUCAUGAUCUCUAGUCAUUUUAGUAAGCUGCUCCUCUCCAAUUCCAAAACCACCAGAAGGAAGUUUUGGUAAAGCAGGAGUGCCUGGAUUACGGAUGAAAAUAAAUAUAUUUAACAAGCGGGAAUGAGAACAUUUCAGAAAAAGAUGAUGGAAAGCCAAAUAAAAUUUUAAUAGUGAGUAUUAAGAAAAGAUCAGAAACUUGAAAAUUCUAAUUCCAAAUAACAGAUAUUAGACAAACAACUAGAACUACCAAAAAACAUGAAGCAAAAAAGGAACAUUAAUAAUUUGAACAGCAAAGACCAUUGGAGGCAAAAGAAGACGGUUGAAGGCAAACUUAUUGGAAAGUGCAUUCCUCUCCAAAGCACAAAUUUAUAAUUACAUAAUAAAUACUUCAGUCAGUGAAGACCAGCAUAAAAACAACCCAAGAAACCCCAUUGUCGGUCGCCCAUUUUUCUUUUCCUUUUUUUUUUUUUACAAGUGACAGUAAAGUUAAGAUUGUUACAAGUUGACUAUUGCUACCUGAUCUCGCCAUCUCCCCUGCUGCUUUAAAGAGAAAUGCUGCCUGAGAAAGUCAAAGAUAAUUAGCAAUAUAAGAAAAGUUGAUUUAUACAAUAUUUUAAGCCUAGAGCUAGCUGCUAUACCCGUAUGACUUGAGCAUGUGCACGGAUCUUACUCCUUAUCCGUUCCUUUUCUUCCUCCUUCUUCAAAUCCAAUGUAUAUCUAAACCGACGAGAAGCAUUCAGCACUAGUACUGCUUGCUGUCCAAACCAGAACAAAAUCAAAACCACAAUCAGUUAAAGAAACACAAUAAAUAUAAUCACAGCAUAAUGAUAUUACCUGAUGAUCAGAAGAAAAAACAUGAAUCUACAAUCCAAAGGUUCCUCAAUGAUAUCUACACAAAUGAAGAAACUGUGUGCUUUACCAUAUUGUCAAAUACAAGGAACGAAACAUCGGUUCGAUCGGUAUGGAUAGGCUGGUAUUUACCGGUCUGAACAGAGACCAGUAUCAAACCAUAUAGAUUGGUAUAGGUCGGAGUUCAAUUUUUCUUAUAUGUUUUCCGGUGAAAUCAAGCACUACAGUUCAACAUUAUCACCUGAUAGAUCGGUAACAUAUUGACCUCAGCAUAUUGAUAAAUGCAAAACUCCAAAGCCACUAUUCUCAAAUUUUUAAGCGUUCAUACAGUAUGCAAGCAUAUGGCCCUCAGCAUCACAGUAACAGAUUCAGUGAUCAAGAUUAGGGGAUACCCAAGUCAGCACAAAAGGAUCAGUUUCAGGUUUUAAUGCUAACACUGGACUUGUUUAUGGUUCACAAGCUCCUAAAACACAAAAUACCAAAUAAAUCCCUUAGUCUGGUCAAAAAUCACUGGAGUAGGGGUGAGUUUUUCAACACGGGUGAAUGAUUCAGAACUCAAAGUUGAAAGUCCUUUAAAAUAAAAGAAAUCAGAAAUGUCAGAAGCCAACCCGUCAAUGUGGAGAUAAAAAGGUCGUGUGGCUUAUUCUCACCGGUAUUUCAGGAUAAACAAAUAUUCAGCCAAAUACACGACUUCUCCAUUUUUUGGACAAUAUGGCCCAGAGAACUAUAGAUCUGAGUCCUACUGCAAUGAAACAUAAAUUCAUUCAUAUACAAAUAAAAUGGUAUCCUUUCAUACACAAAUAAAAUAAAAAUUAUCUUGAAAUAUAAAUUCUCUUGUAAAUAAAAAUAAUUAAUGACGACGAAAAUUGUAUCAUAUUAUAUAUAAUAUGGGAAAAACUUUUUAAGACGGCUUAUUUUAUCAUUACUUGGUUUGUUCUCUAUUCCAUCCAACAGUGUUUGAAAUUUCAAACUCCAUUUAUCUUUGCCUAACUGACCAAUCGAUAUGCCAAGUUGUUAACGAUGAUAGAAACUCGAACUUCUUUUCUCGCUCCUCAAAAUGACCAAUCGAUGUGUCAAGUUGUUAACGAUGCAAACAACCAUGGCGAACUCGAAAACAUCUACGCAUUGGGCAAACCCUCUCGACCUCGAUCUAUGCACAUCAAAUCUUCAAGAAAUCUUCAAUUUCUUGGCGCUCGCUUGGCUUCCAAUAUUCCCAUCUGACGAAGUUCUCACCCUCAAAUCACUACAAAUAUAACCUUGUACUUAAUUUCUUCUUCGGCGAUGUAAGCUCUGUCAUAUUCCGAUCCGAAAAACAACCCCAACCACCGCACGGAGGCGCCUACUCAUCAAGAACCGGCUACAGGGUCAAGGAAACCUACCCUCCACCGCCUGAGGCGCUCCACCGACGCGUUCUUGGCAGGGAUGUCGAACCAAUCGCCGGACGAGCCGUCGCCAUCGCCGGAGGCUCGACGGCCGCUGCCGCCGCCGCCGCCGCUUUCCUCAUCCCUCUGCCGGACGUACGGGGCGGGCGAGGGGGGCAUGCUGUCGUCGCAGGAGAGAUGACACCGGGUCGCGCCGAGGGAUCACGGUCGCACGCUGAGCAUCAAGAAACGAGGGUCUCAGGCGCGAGCGGCAGGCCACCAAGAACCAGCGAGAGUUCCAAGAUCAAGAAAAGCAAAGAAUUGAGCAGGGAACGUAGGGUGGGAUAAACACACCUCCCUCUCUCUCUCUCCCUCUCUUUCGCUGUCUGACGUCUGUAAAAGUUCCCGAGGUGGGGAAUACCGCGUAGGCUUCCGCGAUGCUUCGCACCUUCUUCUUCUCCUCCUUCCUGUUUUACAGAGUUUCGUACGCUUUGCCUCGCUUUGGCUGCACAGCUCAUUUGAGGAGGUCGGUUAGGGAAAGAAAAACAAAAUUAUAUCGAGCAUAAAUCUCAUAAUUCCUGAUAAAGGAAUUAUGAUAUUUAUAUAUAUAUAUAAAGAAAAUUACGUGACAACUUUAAAUAUAUAAAUAUAUAUAUAUAUAUAUACCUUUAUAGUUAAAAAUAUAUGCGGUAAAUUGUAAACGUGAUAUUUACCUUUGAUGCGCUGACGGGUCAAUGAAUCGAUUGAUGAUCAAAGACUUUGAUCGGAUCGAUAUCCGAUUCAGAUUUGAUAUCAAUCCUUCUAAUUCGUUGCAAACUGAAAUAAAAUAUUAAAUACACAAAAACCAUUAAUUAGAUUCUGAUUCGUUUGGUCAAACUUCUUCGACCUAUGCAGGUUGGAUAUCCUCCUGCUCGACCCAUACAUUAACCUAACUCGAUAGAUCCUUAACGCUAGUCAAACUCUUAUUAUUAUUAUUAUUAGUUAUUGUUAAUUAUUGUUAUUAUUAUUAUUAUUAUCGUUUUUUAUUGUUAAUAUUGUUUAUGUCACCGACACCGAAUGCUUGGUUCGAUUUGCCACAUGCCACAUCGAUCGGGUCGACAUUUAGUGGGUUCGUCAACCCUUUUCGAUUUCCGAGUUUUGGAUUUUUCUUUAUAUAUAUAUAUAUAUAUAUAUAUAUAUAUAUAUAUAUAUAUAUAUAUAUAUAUAUAUAUAUAUAUAUAUAUAUAUAUAUAUAUNNNNNNNNNNNNNNNNNNNNAAUAGAGACCAAAUAAUCUCAAUAAAUCAUAAACAAGAUUUGAUUGUAAGCGUGAAGUGAAGGUGAGACGUGAUUCUUAUAUGUAUUAUUUAUAUGAUAAGACUUCGAAUUCUCGACCUAAGAUAAGUGAUUAAGAUAUAUUAUCUCAAUCAUACUAAAAUUAUAAAUGUAUAGAUCAUGUAAAAAUAAUAUAAAUAUUAUUGAAAAACAAGUGAUAUAAUAUUAUGUCUCCUUAGUUGUUAUUAUUAUUUAUAGAUGAUUAAGAUUUUGUAUUUUUAAGCUUGCAACUGGUUUGAUUAAAAUUAGGAGUUUAUUUUGAUCAUUUAUAAAGUUCUCGAGUAGACCUUACAAUAAUUUUUAUUUUGGUCAUCAAAAUACUAUAACAAACCAAUUUUUAAUUUUUAUAGGUGAUGUUGUUCCUAAACUAAUAUAAAUACCUCCUUAAAUCAUAAUAUAAUAUAAUAAAUGAUUUUUAAUGUGUUUUGGUUUUAUUCAGCUUAUUUUUAGCAUUUUUAGAUAGAUUUUAUGGUAUUUUUAUUAUGGCGAUCAAAACACUAUAACUAAUUUUGAGUAACAAUUUAUGUAUAUUUUGAAUUAAGAGUACUAUUAGAAAAAUAAAAGAGAAGAUACAGUUUAGGAAACACAUAAAAUAUAUAUUUUUUAAAAAAAUUACCUAAUAAAAAAAGAUUGAAGAUUACAAAGGAAAAAGAGGACAAAAAAUGACUGACAACUUUGUUGACAAAAAUAAGCCUAAUCACUGACUUCCUAUGAAAAGGCAUUAAUAUUUUUCUUAACUUUGAUUUAUAUAUUUUAAUGAUUUUAUUUUAUUUUUUUCUCAUCGAAUAGAGAAUUUGACAUAUGAACAAUUCAAUGUCAUGUCAUGAACUUUUGAAUUUCUCAUAUUUUUCAUUAACACAAUCGAUGUGUAAACUGAUUGGCUUAUCGACCUGAUUUUUUUCUUUCUUAUUUAUAAAUAAAAAUAAAAAAUUGAAAAAGAAAGAAAAGCUGGCAUUAAAUCAUGUUCAAAUUAAGAUACUUGGAUAAUUUGUGAUGGUAACCUUUACAUGUGUCACAAACCACCAAACACAAGUAGUAAAUGUUACUACCACUUGCAUGAAAUGAUUCUUAAUCCUGCUUAUACUUUGCUUACCGUCUGUGCUUAGGAAAGAAUCACAUGGAUCCAUCAUAUGAUGACGCCAUAAUCGUGACCAUACGGAAAGAGUGUUGAUGGUGCCAUAUUGAAACCCUAAGAGUCUCGAUGAAGCUUUGGAGGCCGAAUUCCAUGGAAAGUAUCAUCAAAGACUUGUCCUUUAUUCCAGGAGAACGCAACAGAAGACUUGCAUCUAAAGCGAGUCAUUGAUUUUAUUUUAAGAAGAGUUUUUGUAUUAAAUAAAGCAAAUUUUCUUCUAAAAUAUAAGAAAAUUAAAGCAAAAUCAAAGAUCAAAUAAAUUUUAAUAAAAAUGACUGAUGAAGACUAUAAAAAGUGGAGACUUUAUAAAUUUAUGAUUUUAGGAAAAAAACAUGUAAUUAUUUUAUAACUGCAUUAUGUAAUCCCAUAUAUAUAUAUAUAUAUAUAUAUAGUUAGGAUUUAGUGCGAUAAAAAAAACAUCGAUUUAAAAUUUUCAUUCGAUAAAGCCCAUAUAAGAAAGUGUUUAAACUCAGAGAGCAAGUGAGCGUAUUAGAUAAUUGAAUCAAUAAGUAAUAAGAAUGAAAAGCAGAAAGAAAGUGCACAUCGAGUUUAUAGUGGUUCGGUCGUUACGACCUACAUCCACUCCUGAUUCCUCUUCCAUUAAUACCAUCGGCAUUUACUAAUGAUCUUCUUUAAAUGGGCGAAUGCCAACUACCCUCUUUACAACUCUCUCUUUUUCAUAGGCUAUAAAGAGAACAUUUAUAUCUCUCUCUUUUACACUAGACCUCACUCCUCAUUUAGAAGAACUUCUAAACCUACAAGGAAGAGACUUUAUACUUCAAGAGAGUUUAUAACUUUUUUUCUUAAGGCUUCGUUCCCUCUUUUUUUUACUUCUUUUCUUGCUUACCCAAGCAGGAAUAACUAGGGUAUUUAUAGAACCCAAAUGACUUAAAAAUAGAACAAAAAAAGAUUUCAUCCUGAGUUUCUAAGGUACUAACGGUACCACUGCUUGUGGUGGGCGGUACCAUUGCAUGUAGCAUUGCCAAUUGACAAUACUAUACAUAUAUAUACAUAUAUAAAUAUGUAUAUAUAUAUGUAUAUAUAUAUACAUAUAUAUAUAUAUAUAUACAUACAUAUAUAUAUAUAUACAUACAUAUAUAUAUAUAUACAUACAUAUAUAUAUAUAUAUAUAUAUAUGAGACAAAAGUCAAUUCUUCUAUGACUUUUGAUGUAUUGAUGGUGUCAUAUUGAAACCCUAAGAGUCGAUGAAGCUGUAGAGGCCGUAUUGCAUGGAAAGUAUCAUCAAAGACUUGUCCUUCAUUCCAGGAGAAAGCAAGAGAAGACUUGGAUCUAAAGCGAGUCACUGAUUUUAUCUUAAGAAGAGAUGUUGUAUUAAAUAAAGUAUAUUUUUUUAUAAAAAUAUGACCGACGAAGAUAUAUCUAUUGACACUACAAAGUCGAGACUUCAGAAAUUGAUGAUUUAGGAAAAAACAUGUAAUUAUCUUAUUACUGCAUUAUGUAAUCCCAUAAUUGUUCCAAAAUUGACUAUGCUNNNNNNNNNNNNNNNNNNNNNNNNNNNNNNNNNNNNNNNNNNNNNNNNNNNNNNNNNNNNNNNNNNNNNNNNNNNNNNNNNNNNNNNNNNNNNNNNNNNNNNNNNNNNNNNNNNNNNNNNNNNNNNNNNNNNNNNNNNNNNNNNNNNNNNNNNNNNNNNNNNNNNNNNNNNNNNNNNNNNNNNNNNNNNNNNNNNNNNNNNNNNNNNNNNNNNNNNNNNNNNNNNNNNNNNNNNNNNNNNNNNNNNNNNNNNNNNNNNNNNNNNNNNNNNNNNNNNNNNNNNNNNNNNNNNNNNNNNNNNNNNNNNNNNNNNNNNNNNNNNNNNNNNNNNNNNNNNNNNNNNNNNNNNNNNNNNNNNNNNNNNNNNNNNNNNNNNNNNNNNNNNNNNNNNNNNNNNNNNNNNNNNNNNNNNNNNNNNNNNNNNNNNNNNNNNNNNNNNNNNNNNNNNNNNNNNNNNNNNNNNNNNNNNNNNNNNNNNNNNNNNNNNNNNNNNNNNNNNNNNNNNNNNNNNNNNNNNNNNNNNNNNNNNNNNNNNNNNNNNNNNNNNNNNNNNNNNNNNNNNNNNNNNNNNNNNNNNNNNNNNNNNNNNNNNNNNNNNNNNNNNNNNNNNNNNNNNNNNNNNNNNNNNNNNNNNNNNNNNNNNNNNNNNNNNNNNNNNNNNNNNNNNNNNNNNNNNNNNNNNNNNNNNNNNNNNNNNNNNNNNNNNNNNNNNNNNNNNNNNNNNNNNNNNNNNNNNNNNNNNNNNNNNNNNNNNNNNNNNNNNNNNNNNNNNNNNNNNNNNNNNNNNNNNNNNNNNNNNNNNNNNNNNNNNNNNNNNNNNNNNNNNNNNNNNNNNNNNNNNNNNNNNNNNNNNNNNNNNNNNNNNNNNNNNNNNNNNNNNNNNNNNNNNNNNNNNNNNNNNNNNNNNNNNNNNNNNNNNNNNNNNNNNNNNNNNNNNNNNNNNNNNNNNNNNNNNNNNNNNNNNNNNNNNNNNNNNNNNNNNNNNNNNNNNNNNNNNNNNNNNNNNNNNNNNNNNNNNNNNNNNNNNNNNNNNNNNNNNNNNNNNNNNNNNNNNNNNNNNNNNNNNNNNNNNNNNNNNNNNNNNNNNNNNNNNNNNNNNNNNNNNNNNNNNNNNNNNNNNNNNNNNNNNNNNNNNNNNNNNNNNNNNNNNNNNNNNNAUAUAUAUAUAUAUAUAUAUAUAUAUAUAUAUAUAUAUAUAUAUAAUUCUUCUAGAGGGGUAUAAAUUAAACGUAUAAAUUUGAUGACUUGAAACCAAAGUGAGUCAUCAAUAUUUUUUAAUGGUAAGAAAGGAAGGGGAAUAACAUCAUGCAUUUGAAUGGAUUUGGAGAACGGCAGCGUACCUGAUCCACCACCGUAUCGCCAUGCGCGACAAGUGUUUGUUGAUUUGCUGCUGACGAAGACACGACUGCCCUGCGCCUUUACCUAACGCGCGACAGGUGUUUGAUGUUUUGUUUACGAGAACAUGACCGCGUUGCGCUUUUGCUAAAGCGGCAGCAGGUGGGAGUUGCUUCUGCUUCACGGCCCCCUGCUUCGGUACGCCAAAUCGGGAAGCCUUGGUCGCCUAAUGUUAGCAUCUUACAGUUCCAUCGCAUUAAUUCUUUCAUGAAAAGAAGGGGAAAAUGGCUCGCCUAAUGCCGAGCACCGAUUGGGGAAUAUCUCCAAAGUGGAAUGUGAUCCGAUCGAGUUAUCUGUGGCGAUCCUCCCGCUUUCCGAAGGAAUCUCCUGCGCUGCACUCAACCGUACCAUGUGAAGCAAGCGACUCACGAACAGCGUGAGACGGAGGGAAUCAAACGUACUUAUUAUACGGAUCAACUAUCUCUGUCUGAUUGGUAUAAUGUAUUAUUUAUUAUAUGAGUGAUAGAUUUUAUGCUCAAAUUCAGUCAUAUAUUAUUAUUUGAUAUAAUAAAAUAAAUUUAAUUAAAAAAAAUAUUUUGAUGCUCAAAUUAAAUUAUAUUUAUUAUGAUUAGACUUACUUAUAGAAGUUCAUCCAUGGAUUCAAUCAUAUUUAUUAUGAUUAGACGGUGGGAUUGGGUGGGAAUCUGUGCACGGUGUGUACUUUGGACUCCGUCGCCCACCCGCGUCCUUUUAUCGUGAACAGUGCCGCUCUUUAUUAUGUUGUAUCAAAUUUUAUCGUGGUCCUAAUAAUUUUAUUGUGUCACUUCCCAACCAAGUUGUAUUGGUAUUGUUGUCAUGCACUGCUCGUGACACAUGUCACGAGAUUCCUCCACUUUGACGGACUCAUGCGCUUGUGUUGCGUGAGGAUGGAGUCAUGCGCGCUCUCAAGUAUCUCCCAUAUGUUGCUUCGCGAUGUGAGCCCGUACACGUAGCCUGGCCCACGAGCCGUUCAGCCCAGCCCAACUCAAGUCUUGUGCAGGCUCAGCUCUCUCUUAUAUAUAUAUAUAGUAAAAUAAGGACCUUAUUAUUUAGAGCACCUUCAUAAUAUUCAUAACCCCUUUAAAGUUUAAUAAAAUAAUACUUUAUUAUUUACAGUCCUAUCUAAUUCUAUUAUUAUCCCUUUUUUAUUUUUUUCCUUCCUCAAAAUCUUUGCGUUUACACCCUACUGUCGUCAGCUUUCCCUACCACUCAUGCACUUUAUCGGACAAUUUGUAAAAGCUCGAAACAUGACAUCUUAUAGGUUAAUAUAAUUGACAUAAAAGAUGAUAUCUUUUGGGUUAUUACAAAAUAUAUGAAAAAAUAUUAAAUCAUUAGAAUAAAUAUAAAAAAAUAUUUCUUACAUUCUCAACUUUGAUCUUUGGUUCGUCUCAUUUUAUUAUCUAUCUUUUUUUUUAUCAUUUUACAUCAUUGUGAUUAAGAAGAAGAAAAAGAGAAGAAUGAAAAAAAUAGAAGAAAAAAGAUUAUAUAUAAGGAGUGAAAAGUUCUUAUUAGAAUUAAGUUAUAAAUUAAGGAUAUAUAUAUAUGUCUAUUUAUAAAGGGAUAACUUAAGAAAAUUUAAAAUUCUUAAUAUGGGAUUAAAAAAGUAAAAAGAGAUUACUAAUAGUAAUAUCCUAAAAUAAUAUUUUAUUAUUUUUAAGGGAUUAUCAAAUAGCAAGGAGGCUAUUAAUAUUAGAAAAUGGAUGUGAGUAGUAAGCUUCAUAACUAUAUCUUAUAUUCCUUAUCAAUCCUUACAUUAAUUUUCUUUAGUGCAAAUAAUAUUUUUUGAAUACAUUUAAAUAAAAAUAUUUCUUUAGAUAUCUUUAGAUGUUCUAUCACGUCUCUUUCUUUUUAUUAUCACUUUUAUAUACCUUAUAUUUGGGAUAUAACUUGUUAAACUGUUAGUUAGAUAAAACUAUUUUAAGUUAUCAUUGAAACUGCAAUAUAACUAUUAACAAUAAAUUAUUAGUUAGGAAAAAAAGAUUUGCAUGCUUUAUUCUUUUUAGUUCUUUGUUUAUUUUUUUAAUUUACAAGAUCAUUCAUCUUUUUUUUUCGGUCAAAAGAUAAAAUUAUUUUCUAAUCAAACUUCUCUAUGAUAAGUAUUGUAUAAAUCUAUUGAAGUAACAAGAGUUGAAUCACAAGAAUAAAUCUAUAAAUUAAUAAUUAAGUAUAAAUUUAAAAAAGUUGAUGCAAAAUUUACAUAGUGCAAUUCUCCUUAAUUAUAUCAAUGGAGAAAAAAAAAUCACUAUAUGAAAAUAAAAAAUUAUAAAGAAUUACUCUUGAGUUAACAUAAAUUUAAAUAUGAAAUCUUUUGUACAUGAUCUAAAUUGAGUUUGCAUUCAUUAUAGAGCCAGCAAUAAGGAAGCUAUGUUAAUAUUUUUAAGCUCAUGUUACGUAGGUGAUUAUCGAUCAGUCGCUUUGAUGUCCUCUAUUGAGAUAAUCAUUAGAGUUUGACAAAUUUGAUGUCCUCUGUGCUCUAAGGGUGACGAUAAAGGUUGGUUCUAGCAUACUUCAUCUUAAAGGUUAUUCUACCAUACCUAACCUAUGAACCUGUCCUAUCUACCUGAACCCUCUUUGUCGACGGAUCGACCACCACCAAAGGAGGAAGAGCCAAAUUUAUUCUCAAAAGCCUCGAUGCGUAGGCAUAUGAGCAAGCUCUAUGCUUUGGGUUUAAGAUAUCCAAUCACGAGAUAGAGUAUAAGGCCCUCUUGUCCAAUCUCAAGCUGAUAAGAGAGCUUGGUGUUAGGGAGUUCGCAGCAUACAAUGACUCCCAAUUAGUGCGAAACUAAGUUAAAAGAGACUUUAAUGCCUUGGACGCAAUGAUGGUGAAAUACCUUAUCGAGGUAUGAAAACUUACCCCCACUUUUCUAAAUUCGAGAUCUUAAAUAUACCUCAAGAGGAGAAUACUUAGGCCAAUGAGCUAGCUUCGACCCAAAUGGUGAAAGACAGAUGCAUGUAGGUCGAGAUGCUACUGAUGAGGAGCAUUGACACCUUGCAUGUCUCCCAAGCAGAAGACAAACCUUACCGGAUAGACAACAUCUGCAAUAUAAAAGGGACGACACACACCUUACUAACCAAGCUUCAAUGAGGCAAGUUAGGCAUCAAUAAGUAUACCUCAACUCAAUCGACUACAAAUGACCUUUCGUUUAAUAGGGAAUUGACCUUCUCGAGCUCUUUCCAUUGGUCUCAAGAUAGUGUUGAUUCAUAAUAGUUAGGAUAGGCUACUUCACAAAGUAGGUCAAGGCCAAACCACUCAUAUCCACUAUCAAGAAACAAGUAGGGUUCAUGUAAAGGAAAAUUAUUACUCGGUUUGGGACCUUGAGAGCCAUCAUCAUCGACAAUAGAACUCAAUUUAAUAAUCAUAAUUUCAAAGAAUUAUGUCAAUCCUUCGGUAUUCAAUUUAGACUUACCUCAGUGGCCCACUCGCAAACCAAUGACUUGGUUAAUGUGAUAAAAACCAAACCAUAUUGGAGGGUAUCAAGAAACAAGUGGUGGACGCAAAAAGCACUCGAGAUAAUAAUUUGUCUAGCAUCAUAUGAGUCUUAUGGACAACAUCAAAGAUUAAGUAGAAUGAAUCACCAUUGAGCCUAGCAUUUGACACGAAAUCCAUCAUUAUCCUCGAGAUAGUAUUCCCAACCCUUUGUGUUGAAAGCUCUAAUGAAACCACUUCAGAGGAGAGACUUUGCUUAAGGUUGGAUCUUAUUGAUGAAGUUCAAACCAAGACACACUUGAAGAUGCUCAAUAAAAAAAAAAAAACUAUCUUCUAACUCUAUAACAAGGAUUUCUAGCCCCAAGGAAUUGACCUUGGUAACUUGAUCCUCUAGAAGGCUGAGAUAAGUGACCUAAUGCGCUAUGAGGAAAUUUAGCUCCCAAUUGGGAAGGAUCAUAUCAGGUCACUGAAAUGGUCUAAGAUGAGACCUACCACCUUAAAACGAUGGAGGGGUCACUACUACUAUAGACGUGACAUAUAUCCAAUCUUAUAAAGUUUUAUCCUUAGCUUGAGGGACAUCGAUAUGGGUAGACCAAUUGAGGAGUCAUAAUCGAAGAGUUAUAUCAAAAAACAUCUUAUAAUUCUACAAAUUAAUAGAUUUACCAAAUAAAAUUCUAUUCUUGGAAUGUGCCACAUUGUAUGGGUCGGGUAUUAUAUCUCUACCCAAUCAAAAGAAAAAGGAGAAAAAGAAACAAAUACACUAUUUCAUUGGGAGCUAAGCAUUCUCUAAGGGAGGAAUAUCGAUUGAGGGGCUCGUACUGAUCGAGGAGGAUUCAUGGGCAAGCAUUUCAAGGAGUCGAUGUCGAGAGGGGACUCUAAGCUAUCAUCAAAGAAGAUACUCGUAUUUGAAAGAUAAUUUCUUUGAACAUAAUAGCCCUUUUUUGAAGUUGACUAAGGACUUGACCUUUUAAUCAUCUUAGCAUCCCUCUUCGAUAGUAUGGCCUCAGCCAUUGACUAUUUGGCUAGCUCGAUGACCCAGAGUUCGUGCUUUGGAAUUUAUCACUUCAACACCUUGAUUAUCACUUAGUGUUGUAUUCAAGGCAUGGUAUUAUCUCUACAGUGCCUUCAGGUCAGCCACUCGAGUGGCAUCAAUUUGACAAAGCUGCUUGACUUUAUCCUUCUCCUCGGUGAUGUGGCAUUCUAGUUUGACCACAUGCUCCUCCAAUCGAGAGACUACAUGUGGGGUAGUCGUUUCGUUCUGUUUGACGUUCUCACUUUAGAGUCAAGUAAUCUCCUUUACUUGAUUAGAGAUAAUGACUCUAGAGUUAUGACAAACACACACACACACACACACACACACACACACACACACACACACACACACACACACACACACACACACACACACACACACACACACACACACACACACACACACACACACACACACACACACACACACACACACACACACACACACACACACACANNNNNNNNNNNNNNNNNNNNNNNNNNNNNNNNNNNNNNNNNNNNNNNNNNNNNNNNNNNNNNNNNNNNNNNNNNNNNNNNNNNNNNNNNNNNNNNNNNNNNNNNNNNNNNNNNNNNNNNNNNNNNNNNNNNNNNNNNNNNNNNNNNNNNNNNNNNNNNNNNNNNNNNNNNNNNNNNNNNNNNNNNNNNNNNNNNNNNNNNNNNNNNNNNNNNNNNNNNNNNNNNNNNNNNNNNNNNNNNNNNNNNNNNNNNNNNNNNNNNNNNNNNNNNNNNNNNNNNNNNNNNNNNNNNNNNNNNNNNNNNNNNNNNNNNNNNNNNNNNNNNNNNNNNNNNNNNNNNNNNNNNNNNNNNNNNNNNNNNNNNNNNNNNNNNNNNNNNNNNNNNNNNNNNNNNNNNNNNNNNNNNNNNNNNNNNNNNNNNNNNNNNNNNNNNNNNNNNNNNNNNNNNNNNNNNNNNNNNNNNNNNNNNNNNNNNNNNNNNNNNNNNNNNNNNNNNNNNNNNNNNNNNNNNNNNNNNNNNNNNNNNNNNNNNNNNNNNNNNNNNNNNNNNNNNNNNNNNNNNNNNNNNNNNNNNACACACACACACACACACACACACACCACACACACACACACACACACACACACACACACACACACACACACACACACACACACACACACACACACACACACACACACACACACACACACACACACACACACACACACACACACACACACACACACAAGAGCCCCAACUUAGGAGGUACUUACGAGGACCUUCCACUUCACGACCACCUCGAUAAGUGUCUUUGAUGAUAACUUAUACACCUUUACCUGAGAGGCAACUAGAGACUCUCAGAGGUACUUAGUGGUCAUAGACUGAUCCUUCCAAAUGACAUGGGAGGCCUUUAAUCCCUCGUAGUGUGGCUCUAGUGGGGCCCACUCUACUAGGUCAAGAUGUCUGUCAUCUUCAGUGCCGUGAAUGACACUAGUCAGUGUCGAUAGAGGUCUUAGAGCUAGUUCUUCUGAGACAUCUUCGGGGUUGGCUCCUUCGGACUCAGAGGUAGGUUCCCUGAAGCCUCAUAAAACCUUCUAUUUUGGAUGACCCCUCACUUUCGAGUGAUCGAGGUUGUGGGGUGGUGUCUCAACCUCUAGCUAAGGCUACGACUUCAGCUCAACCGCCUUAAGAGGCUAGUCCUUAGAUGAGAAGGUCAACCCAAUCUUUUAUUUAGAUCCCUAAGAUUCAUUCCUAUAAAGAGACAACUUAGUUAGAAGCACAUCUAAUAAGCCAUGAAAAGAUACCUUGGGAGAUGAUGCAUACCUUGAGGAGCUAGACUCAUAUUAAUGUCGAUUAGCCAAUCUUCAUUCAUGGACUUAAUAGCCAAAGAGAAAAUGAUCUUUCCUAGUCGGAACACUAACUUCUCUUUUCGUUAGUUAAAAUUCGAGUUGUGUUAAUGAAAGUGUGUAGAUAAGUAUAGACUGAUGUCGAUAAAGAAGUAUCAUCCCUUCUAACCCUUAUUGGAAGUUGGGGCCACCCUCAUUGUGAAUUCUUCUCGAGUCACAAGAUAGUAGUUGUUGGCCCUCUUGCAAGCCUAGAAGCAAUAAUGAAAUAGAUUAAGGUUGAGUCUAUGUUGGUAUAGUAGCAUUUCUCGAGGAAAGUGACUAGAUAACAUCAUGAGUUAGGCACCAUAUGAGAAAGAAAGAUCAUCCACCAAUAAAGGCACUCCAAGAUGAAUGGAUGAAGGGAGAACUUAAGCAUAUGUACUUGCACAUCAAGUCAAACGAAUACUACUCGACCCGAGGUACCUUCACUUGAUCCUCAGAUGAGAUUGAGAACCAGAGGCAUAAGUACUCUAGGAACUUAGGUUUACAACCAAAUCUUGGUCAUAGAAACCCUUUAUAAUUUGAAGGUUUAUAAUGACCUUGAGAUCAAUUAGGACCAUAGAUGAACCGAUAUCUUCUAGACCUAGUUAGGGAGAGCUGACAGGUGCUUUGGAGGUCCAAAAAGAAAAAUGAAAGGCUGAAAGAGAAAAGAAUCAAUGAAGGUGGAGCUAAGGAUGCAAAGUGAGCCCUGAGGGGGUGCAUCUUAUACCCUCGAGGUGCCACUUCACUUUCUAAGGUGUUAGUUUAACUCACGAGGUCCCCACUUAGUGCAAUACUUAGUGGUCUUUCUCGUCAACGAAGGUAUGACUAGAUGAAAGGGUGACCUCCCUUUGAAAGUGCACCCAAGACGUAUCUCUCAGACUAAGAAUGAAAAAUGCACUCGAGACAUCUUCCUCAAGUUAAGCAUGGAAAAUAUACCUAAGUCGUUUUUUUCGGGCUAAGUAAAGAAACACACCUGAAACACCAAUCUCGAGUUAAAUGGUAUGCUAUACCCGAGGCACCCUUUAAAGGUGGUGAACUUGAAGCUCAACACAUUGAAACUAUCAAAUGCUCAAAAUCAUGUUUGCUAUUUAUUAGGCACAUCUUGACGCUUGAAAGAAGAUCCAAAGGCACACCUUUAGGGGGAAAAUAGAAAAUGCACUCAAAGGCCUCUCUCGAGUCAAAUAUGAAAAAUAUGCUCAAGACUCAUUUCUCGAGCUAAGCAAAACAAUGCACCUAAAACACCCAUCUCGGGUUAGUUGGGAUGCUACACUUGAGGCACCCUUUAAAGGUGGAGAAUCUGAAACUCGACAUGCCAAAACUACUAAACAUUUGGAAUCUUAUUCAUCACACAUCGAACAAAUAUUGGGCACACCUCGAUGCCUAAAUGAAGACUCCAAUGUAUACUAAUAGUAAGGGGGAGGGGAGAGAAAUUAUAGGGGGAGAAUUCACCAUCGAUAGCCUACCAACAUAACAUAGUGGGUGAUACCCAAAUGAUAUGAUAGUCAUCCAAACUCAACAACAAUAAUGAACCCAAAAGAAAAUAUUCCAGAAAUAUUUCCUUUAACUCAAUCUGAAGUCUAUUAAUCUGAAGUCUAUUAAUUUAUUAUUAUCUAGAUUAAUUAUUAUUUAUUUGUGAUCCUCAUUUUUUUUUUUUUUUGUACUAACUUGAAUAUCAUAGGAACUAAGCAUCCCAUUUGAUCUCGAUCUUCUUAUGAAUCAAUUCUUAUAGUUUUUUUGAACUUAAAGAUCGAGUGGAAUUGAGAAAAUUUAUCCUAUCACAUAUAAUUUACAAACAAGUUUCCUAAUUGAGAAAAAAAUAGCCCGACUUAGAGGGUAAGGGUAUUAUCGUAACAAGAUCAAAACAAGUUCGCGGCUCGACUCGUGCGGUAAGUUGUGGUUUACGUCACUCCCGUGGCAGCGAUUUUGUUAACCAGUUGACUAAAAUCUUACCUGCCAUAAACUUUGUUCGUACGAAGAAUAGGACGAAUGUGAACCCUAAGGGUAUUGUCGUAAUUUCAGGAAAGAGAUCCGGCCUCCCACCUUUCUCUCUCUCUCUCCUAUUAUUUCUUUCUUUUUCCUCUCUCUCUCUCUCUUUGUCUCUCAAUCGCUCCCUUUCUCUGUCUUGAGAUUUUGGAGUCAGUACGCUUCUCUCCCUCCUCCCUUCGCUCACUCUUCGGCAAUUGUGUGGCAUUUCAACUCCACAUCUCGCGUGCUUUUGAUCCGCCCGCGGACUCGUCCAUCGAACUCUCGGACGCUCGCUUUGUGGAGGUACGGGGACCUCUCUCUCUCUCUCUCUCUCUCUCUCUCUCUCUCUCUCUCAGACACACACACACACUCGCUCUCUCUCUCCUUUGUUUGGUCUCCCUUGAAUCGAAUAUCAAGGCAUUGGCAUCUCGGGUCGGGGUUCGUUACUCGUUAAGUUGUGAUCGGAAGGGGGAGUGCGGGUUCUGAUUCCUCCCUCUAGUUUGGAUCUAAGUGAAUGGAGACUUUUGAUCUUAUUUUGGUGGGUAAAUCCGAGUUUGGUUCCAUCGGAGGUGGAGAUCCAGGAAUCGAACUGGUUGUUUUGAUUCGUCACGUGUUGUUGUGGGAUCUGCAUUACGUUGUAGGGCGAAAUUCUGAUGAAAAAGGUCGAUGUACAUAGUUUCUGGAAAUGGUGAAAAGGUCGGAUCUUAUUUGUAUUCUGGCUGACAUUAAUGAAAUUUAUAGUGGUUGAUCUGUUGAUCGGAGAUCUGCUUUUGAUUUUGGAGACUUGGACAACGUAGAUGCUAGUUUUUCGUACAUCUUUUAACUCUUAUUGGGACUGUAUGAUGUAUUCUAUACGGGUUAUGGGUUCUAAUGGAAUGAAAUGGAGAUAUGGAUGGAGCAAGAAUCUGAAACUGUUCAAGACCUAAAAGGUGGAGUCAAAUUUCAAAUGUUACUCUUUGCACUUCUUUUAGCACCCAUUCAUCUUCACUCUGGUCCAAAUGUUAGUGGACACCGAGCUUAUAUUUUCUCAAUGUUCUCAUGACUGGCCGCCACAGUCCCACUUCAACAUAGGCGCAUAAUGCUUGUCGAGCUUCUGGCCAAGCUGCCGGAACUAUGUACUUCAAUCCCAUAUUCUGUCUGAAACUGCUCCUAAUAAUUAAUAAUCAGUUGGUCGAGCAAGGUAUCAAAUGAUACUAGUAAUCAUUUCAUGUAAUGUGACAAGAAUCACAUAGGGAAUCAACUCAAAAUGUGGUUGUUGGGCCAUAGAUUCUUUUGGGGAGUAUCUCUAUCUCAUGCACCUUUCAAUUGUUCUCCUUUAUGAAAAAUACACUACACAUGUCAUAAUUGACAUGCGUUAAUUUGAUUUUAGACCACAUCCUAAAAUUGGAAUAUAUGUUGAUCUUUUGGAAAGAAUUUAAUUUCAUUGCUUAAGUAGGUAUCACUUAAUCAUCCUCAGCUAUCAGUUUCCUAAUUCGUAUUUCAUGGCAAAUCAUGCUUCCUAGUCAAAGGCACCCUGUAUAAUUUACAAAAUUUGGAUCUUCUUUUCAAGUUCUAGUCACAAAAUAAUUUCCAUAUUAAUCAAUUCCACUUCCAUGGGCCCAGAGUUUUGUUUGUUAGUUUGUUGUUUUUAACUUUUUAUAAUGAAGAUCGUAGGUUUUUUCAACCAUCUCUUCUCUAGUUAAAUUUCUCUUUCUGUAAUCCUUUGUUUCUUCUCUCACAUAUUGAUCGAUUAAGUUUGAUCAUGACCCUGGCUUUGUUUACUCUGUCAUUGCUACAUAUCUUGAUUAGUAGUCCUCUUUCUGAUGUGUUUCAGUGAAACAGAAAUUAGAAUCUUUGAAAAGCUUGGCUUUCAAUGUUGACAUGAUUACUGCACUGUUUCUGUUUUGUUGAGUUUGCAGUAAAAGAUAAUUUAAAAACAGUAAAUUUGUCUGUUUCGUAAUGAGCUACUUGAUGCUCUUUUCAUCCAGUCAUCAGUGGACUCCUAUGAUUUUUCUGGCACCAAAAUUAGAGCAGACUUCAGGUUCUAAUGAUUGAUCCUUAGUAAAAGUAAUUGGUUGAAAUUAUUAUUAUAAAGUAUAGGAAGAAAAGGACAAGAGCCAAUAUUCUAGCGACUAAAUGUGUAAGACAUUCUCCAAAUGUCGUUAUAGGUUAACAAUGUUUUUUUCAAAAAUUUGCAACCUUCUGCUAUCAUUGCCAUAAUUAGUAUGAACAUUUUUUACAUUGAUACUGGUCAUUAUUGGAGAUCUUGAUUAGUUUAUUUAGAUAUCUUGAUCCUUUUUUCUUCUGUACAAUUUUUUUACUAGGCAAUGGAUGAAGAAAUUGUGCCUAGAUAUACAUUCUUGAUACCCGACAUUGGUUUUCGGUGCUCUAACAGAGUGCUUUUCCUGUGGAUUUGUGCUACUUGCAACUUUAGCCUCAUCAUGACCAAAAUCUUAUAUUGCAGUGCUGAUUCCUGUGGGCUACAAUAAAUAUCCGCCAUCUGCACUCCAAAGAGCCAUUUGAAGCCUGAUGGGUUCCAGAUUCCCAUCGCACCAGCUCAGCAAUGGCCUCUAUGUUUCAGGUCGACCUGAACAACACAAGGAGAAACCUCCAACAAUUUUCUCUACAGCCAUGCCAUAUACAGGAGGAGAUAUUAAAAAAUCUGGAGAACUUGGGAAGAUGUUUGAUCUUCAUGUAGAGAAAUCCAGAAAAUCUGGGCCACUUACUAAUCCCCCUUCAAGAAAUCGAUCAUUGGGGGCUGCUGCUACCCACUCAGGGCCUAUCAUGCCUAAUGCCUCUGGUCAGCCUAACUAUUCCGGUUCUUCUUCUUAUGCAGCUCCGAGUUCUGGUUCUUUGCUAGUCACUGGUGGUUCUGGUAGACAGAAAUCCAGUUCUGGGCCACUUAAACACGGGGAUUCAGUUAAAAGGGCAUCUGGGCCUCAAUCUGGAGGUGUUACCCAAGUGGGACGCCAAAAUUCUGGCCCUCUUCCACCGGUGCUGCCCACUACAGGUCUCAUCACUUCUGGCCCGAUUUCUUCUGGGCCACUUAAUUCAUCCGGUGUCACCCGGAAAUUAUCAGGUUCUCUGGAAUCCACUAAAUCAGUGAAGUCACAUAGUGCAUCUGUCAUUCAGAACCAAGCUGUCACUAAUCUCACUCAGGAAGAUGAUUAUUUGUUCAAGGGAAGCUUGCCUAAGCCCAUCAUUUGGUCCGUGGUUUUGUUAUUUGUGAUGGGUUUUAUUGCAGGUGGCUUCAUUCUUGGUGCUGUUCACAAUGUCAUUCUUCUUAUGGUUGUUGUAAUUAUUUUUGGAGGAGUUGUCAUGCUUUCCUUUUGGAAUACUUGUUUUGGAAGAAGGGCAAUCAUAGGAUUCAUUGCUAGAUAUCCUGAUGUGGAUUUGAGAACUGCAAAAGAUGGGCAGUAUGUCAAGGUCUCUGGGGUAUGCAACUCGAAGAAUGCUUUUUUAAACAAGUUUGUUUGGAAUCAUGAAAGUUAGUAUUCGAUAUUUGACUUUCUUAUUUAGGUUUGCAUAUAAAAAAGAAGUAUCAAUUGCUUUUAGUUGUUUGUGAGCAGUGUUCUUACGAACGAUCCCAGCAUGUGUGGAUUCUUUUGUUGAUGGCUUAUCAUGUGGAGAAAUGUUGAUGCAUAAGCCUUUUUUAAGCUCAAACUAUCAUGUUUGCUCCAGCUUGAUAUAUUUCCCAGGACUUGUUUACUCUCUUUGUUUCUCCCCUAAUGCUUAUAAAAAUAUGUGCAACUUGAUAUAUUUAACAAAAGCUUCUUGCAGGUUGUUACAUGUGGAAAUUUUCCCCUUCAGUCAUCAUACCAUAUGGUUCCUAGAUGUGUGUACACAUCUACUGGCCUCUAUGAAUACAGGGGCUGGAACUCAAAGACUGCCAAUUCCCAGCAUCGGCGUUUUACUUGGGGACUAAGAUCAAAGGAGGUAUGCCGCUUUGUUGAAUAAUUGAAUUUAUAAGAGAAACUACAUCUGAAAUAAAGGAACAUGUAGAAUUUAUGCCCCAUAAUUUGGAAAUUUUUAGAUUAAGCAACAAUUUGCUCCAGCUUCAUAAUUUUAUCUGAUCUGUGAGUCAUCUUAUGUGAAACUUUGGCAGAGGCAUGUGGUUGACUUUUAUAUAUCUGAUUUCCAAUCUGGUUUAAGAGCUCUGGUCAAAGCAGGCUAUGGUUCUAGGGUGGCUCCGUAUGUUGAUGAGUCUGUCGUCAUUGACAUGAACCCAAACAACAAGGAUUCGUCUCCUGAAUUUCUCAGGUGGUUGCAGGAGAGGAACCUUUCUAGUGAUGACCGUGUGAUGCGCCUGAAAGAAGGGUAAUCUGAAACUUCAAUUGUUAGACAGUUAUCAUUUUGGUUCCUUGUAUGUGUUUCCAGUAGUAGGAAUAAAGAGCUAGGAUUGUCUUUGUUGGUUACUGGCUUCUCAUCAGGAUCCCUAUGCAUAAAACCUUGUUUUUAGCCUACCAUAGGCAAUCUGACGAGAGAAAAAGAUGUCAUAAUAUAUUUUCCCACACCGUACAUCUUUUAACAAUUUGAUUAUUGUAUCCAUGCAGUUAUGUCAAAGAGGGCAGCACUGUAAGUGUAAUGGGAGUUGUCCGAAAGAAUGACAACGUUCUGAUGAUAGUCCCUCCUCCUGAGCCCUUCUCCACAGGGUGCCAGUGGGCGAAGUGCGUAAUUCCAGCGAGCCUCGAUGGAAUUAUAUUAAGAUGUGAGGACACAUCAGAUGUUGAUGUCAUACCAGUGUAAUCGAUACAAUUGGUGUCAAUAUAUUUGCUCUUAUUUGUGCCGUCUCUGGAAUUUGUUUUAUUUCAUUUUCGGCAGUGCGGUGUUUUGAAAAGGCCACCUAUCAGUUUGAAGAGGUGGCUUCAUAUCUCGAGUCUGUAUAGCUUUGUCUCCCCCUUUUUAAAUGAGAUGGAUAUUUUUUGUGAGAUAGAUAUCUAUGUUGUUGUCUGAAUGGCUUCAUAUCUCGAGUCUGUAUAGCUAUAAAUGUCAUGCAUUCUUCGGCUCUGCACUACUAAAUAACAUUUUUGGUUCUCCUUCUGCUCUUCCUUCUUCCUUCUCCCUUUCUCCUCCGGAACGCGUGUUUCUUCAUUGCGAGGUUUGUUUUUUUCUGCUUUUAGGACUGAACCAUUCUGGUUUUGAUUAAAAGGGAUCGAACCGUUCCUUUUAGAGUUCCUGACGAGUUGCAAGUUCUAAAUGCAUUCUUCUGCAUUUUUGUUUCUCCUCCUAUUCUUACUACACCGUAAGAAUCUAUUCAUUCUUGACCCUGAAAAUGAUACUAGUAAGUCUAUAAUAUUUAUAUAUGUCUAUAUGUUUCAGUAGAAAACUUUCACAUAGUCACGUGGGGUGUCAGUUAGCACAUCCAGAAGCUACCCGGAUGACACAUGAUUGGAUGGAUCUUUGAAAUAGUGUCUAAGAAUGAUUUACUAUCUUGUUUCAUAACAAUAUCAGGUGGGCACUUGUGGGGGCUUUUGACCACGACGGAUCACCUUGAACCCUUUUUUGUAUAAUCGUUCCAAGCUUAUACGUCUAUAUUUGUAAUUUGUAUUAUCUAUCAAGUGUUUGUCAAAAUGUCUACCUGUGGAAUACUAAGUUAAAUACUUCCUCUAACCUAUCUUCUCUUUGCAGGUCCUUAAUUGACUAUAAAAGGUUUCGAGGAGACUGACCCUUUGCAAACUGACAUGCAAGGGUUUCACAUGACUUUGGCAAAACCAGCUAAGUCCAUGACAAUUGGUAUCAAAGUGAGACAAUCACACUUAGAAACACUUGCAUGCAAAUGUGGGAAACUUAACAGAGAUGUAUUGAGGACAGCCAACAUGCAUGACCGAUUAAGAGAAACAAGCGUAGGGACGUAGAGAAAGGGGUCGCUCAAAGGAGCGAGCAUCCAAGAUUGACAUUCAGAGGAAUGAACAACAUUUCACACGAGGGGCAUCGUAACAACAAAUGAGCUAGGAAGAAUGUGUAGCGCACAAAGUUGAAAUGACUAAGUUUGAGCUAUAGCUCGACGUUGGCAAUUAAACUUGAUGGUGCUCAAAGCAAACAAGACACUUGGUAAAUAAUAAGACUAUGUAAGGAGGGAUGAGUUGCUCAACAACUAAAAUAGUUGUGUAAAGCUUAAAGAGAUGAGAGGAAUUGCUAACUUGAAGAAUUUAUUAUUCAUGCAAGGGCUUGUAUACAGAUGACAGAUUGUCUAUGGCCAUCCUAAGGUAAUCGAAACUCGACGACAUGGAGCAUAGAAACUUUCUCUUUGGAUGGAACCGAUAUAUUCAUAGGAGGUUGAAGUGUGUAAUAAAUUCAGCAUAUUGCUAGGCUUUAAAGGGUGCAAUGAGGGCUAUAUUAGCGAAGAGUUGUAAUCUAACAAGUGCAUUUGUGAUGGCAGAAUAGUGUACAUGAUUCCCUCUGAAACUUCUAAAGGGAAGGAUAUGGAGAGAAAAGUUGCUCUAAUAUGAUAGAUAUUUAGGAUGGAUAAGUCUUAAUUUCCAAAAGGGAGAAUCAUGUACAUGGGAUCACAUAUGUUAAGGGGGUACUUCAAGACAAUAGCUCCAUAAAACUCAAUGGAUCAAGCAAGCGACGAAGAGUUAUCGUAUUAUCUCAUAUGAGGUAUUACAUUAGUAGACACAUUACGAGAUCAAGUGAGGGCGACCCUAUACAAUACCAAAUGAGGGCACACUUACAGUUGAUAUAGAGAUCAGACUCAAUGGAUGGUUGACCUAUGGAAUAAUAGAUAAGAUCAUCAACUCAAUGCAAAUCGAGGAACAUAGCAACUUGGGUGAAACUUAGUGAAAUGUCAAAUUCACAUGAAGGGAGUCGACAUAGAAGAUUGAACAUAAAGUAAAGGCACCAAACUUUCCUUAUAAGCAAGGACAUGAACUCUUACGGAAGCAAGAGCAAGUUCAUAUCAUUCCAUAGGUCCCCUAUUCUAUUGGAGUGAACUAAUCUUAUAUAGUGUUAAAAUCGAAGGGAGUUUUGAAACAUAUGCACCUUAUCUCGAUGAAGUGAUUGACGGAGAGACUAAGGAAAUCAAAACUAUCAGAGACUUACUCCAAGUCAAAGUAGAAUUUUACUCUUUUUGGGGCAAAACUUCUUGCAUUCCAAAAGUUUGAUGGCAACGAGAAGAUAAAUUACAGUAGCUAACUUAUUGCAAUGAGUGUAAACACCUCGGCUGCUUUAGUAUUGUGAGGAAAAAGUACGCAAAAGCUAGUAAGCAAAGUAAAAUAAUUUUUGUCCUCUCAACUCUUAAGAAAAUGGGUGAAACCGGAUACUAAGUUCUCUUAUUUAUCUAAAAGAAAAGCUUUGCACAUGUUCAAAGACCUUUCAAAGAAACUUAGUAGAAGUUAACAUUUAUCAAAUCCUCACCAAUGGUGAUUGAUUUCACCGAGAGUUGAUUGUCUACUUCAUUUUUCAAUAGAAUGUCAAUUGAAAAUGAAAGUGGUGUGAAAUUAAGCAACAAUUAAAUAAAAGAGGAAUCAAUGAGCAAAUUUUAUGGAGGAAAGAUAUCAAAAACUUCAAAAUUUGCAAGGUGAUGCUCGUUAAAGCUCUAAUAGGUAUCCACCCAGUUCAAGCUAUGCGAGAUGUUUGAGAGACUAGUGCACAACAAAGAAUGUAUUUUCCUUCAUCUAAGAGAUCCGUAUAAACCAAUAAAAGUCAGCACAACUCGAUCAACCCUAUAUCAAAAUUAGAGUAAUUGACAAGUUGAAACAGUAUCGGCGGAUCAAAGUUCGGCUGCUUAACAAUAGUGCUAAUGAGCAACUGAGAACUAAGAGACACAUUGCAACUGAAGUAGAAGAUUAAAGAUUCUAUAAAGGCAAAGAGAUGCAACAUCUAUAAAUGCUUCGAGAGAGAGAGAGACUUGAUUAUAUAGAGAUAUAAUCAGAGCGACUAAAGAGUUGGACUACUCCAGAAUCUAUUAUUUUCUUGAGAGAUCUUGGUAAGUCAAAGGAUAAGGCUGAAUGAGUAAACAUUACUACUAAUAACAUAAAGGAGAAUAGUAUUGGCCGAGCCCUACAACAUAAUAGUGGUGGCCAUGCAUGGAAGUUGUAAUAUAUCUUUCCAUUGACCAAGAAGAAUUACUCAGACAACAUAGAGGUGUUAAGGUAGGUGCCUGUUAGGAAAAUCUUUGGGGGCGACAUCAUAUGCGCAACGGAAGAACAAGAAAACAAAAUCCUCGAUUCUCAAAGAGAUGUUCGUCGUCGUGUGAAGAUUGAUGUGCAAAAUCCGCGAAACUGAAAAACUGCGUAUAGAAUAUAUUGUGUUACAUAGGGAAAUCGUAUAUCCAUGUUUCCUUGCAGAUCCUUAGGAGAGGGUGAAGGAGAUCAAGCGUCCUCCUCUCUAGCGGUGAUCCACACAGUAGGGCUGCGACGAUGCUCCUUAAAAACUCUAGCACUGCUUUGAGGUGAAGAGGGGAAGGAGAAUAGGAGAGGCAAGCAAAUGCUCUAGCCUAUGAGGCUCUGAAUCCCUCCUAUUUAUAGAGGUCCCUUGUCAAACCCUAAUGGAUCCUCGCCUAGUGGGUAUUGGAUCUGCAUCAAAUAACCCAAGCCUUUUAGAUUAGUGGAUCUCUAUCCAAUAAUCUCUCAUGGGCUCUAAUUGGAUCUCGUCCAUGAGAUUCAAUAAUUCAGGGGCUUAUUAGAUAUCCAAUAAGACAAGGGCUCCAUCGGAUAUCUUAUAUCCGAACCUCUACUCAUCGCAAUGCCUACCAUAUGUGUGUGACCCUGUAGGCUCAAUAUCGAGUUGGCCGUGAGUCAUAUCUGUAAGAACUCCUUCUAACUCAAUGAAUUAUUAUCUCUGUAAUAAUUUACUUGACUCAUCGACUACGGACGUACUAUGCCACUACGCCGUAGUCCCUAGACGAUUCAAGGGAAUCCAAUCCAUUGGACCUGUUUGUCCUCAGUUACCAUGUACCUAUAGUCCNNNNNNNNNNNNNNNNNNNNCUCAUCCAUCUAAUAUCCUAGAGACCGUAUAUCGAGCAUGGUGUUGUCAGACCCAUACGGUUUCUACUCGAGUCUCGCUCUAAUCGGAUUCUCCCGGAGAACUCUUUCUCUCUCAACCCGAAUGACCCUGGCCAGAGAUUUGUCUGAGCAAGAACACAUGGGAUAUUCCUCUCAUGACGCCGAGAGUGGAUGAUCCUCUAUCGACACUCAAUAGCCCUCGUAAGGUCGACUACCACUCUCAAUGACCAACUGUACUAGAUCUGGGACAACCAAACCUAUAAAUCCGGUAUCAAAGAGUGGAGCACUCAUACAGGACAUCCUUGGUGUCUCAAGUCUAAGAACCAGAUAUACCACUAGGACUAUGAAAUCGUUGUCUAACAAUACGGCAUCAUCAAUCAUCCAACAUUCCGUAAGCAGAUGAAUCAGUGAACUCAUUCUACAAUGAGCACCUAUUCGGUAUCCCUAGUGUCCCUACACGAGCAGCUAUAAGACCAGCUGCAUCCAUCAUAUGGACAGGUAUACAGCACACCAGUCUGUCCGGUUAUCACGAUGUCCCUCUCGAGUAACCUAUGACCGGGAUUAUUUAGGAUAUGUGUUUAAAGGUGAAUCGAUCUCAUUUUCAUGAUCUCAUCACGAUCUGAUUUCUAUUGCACAAAUCCAAGGACAUCACAAUAUAUAUAUGCAUAUAUGCAAUAGUUAUAAAGUGAUAUAUGCCAAAAUAUAAUAAGCAAAAAGAUUCUGUAUCAAAUCACACGUGUCAUCACUCACGUGAUUGGCUUGCUGGGCACCUAUGACUAGCAAUCUCUCACUUGUCCUAAAGCCAAUCACCUAUGUGUCUGAUCCCCAUCAGACCCCCAUGACUCUCAAAGACAAUCUGAGACAAUGGUUUUGUUAGUGGAUCUAUAAUGUUAUCUUCGGAUGGAACUCUUUGCACUAUUACAUCUCCUCGGGUUAUGAUCUCUCUAAUAAGGUGGAACCUCCUCUGAACAUGCUUAGAUUUUUUAUGAGACCUAGAUUCCUUCGCUUGAGCAAUCGUCCCGUUAUUAUCGCAAUAUAAUGAGAUUGGCUCCUCACUACCCGGCACGACUCUCAAAUCUGUGAUGAACUUCUUCACCUAGACUCCCUCCUUUGCUGCAUCUGAUGCAGCAAUGUACUCCGCCUCUGUGGUCGAGUCAACAGUAGUAUCUUGCUUGGAACUCUUUCAGCACACUGCUUCUCCAUUCAAGGUGUACACGUACCCCGAAUUCGACUUGCUAUCAUCGACAUCAGAUUGAAAACUUGAGUCUGUGUAGCCUUCAACCUUAAGGCUACUACCUCCAUAUACUAGUAAAAGAUCCUUAGUCCUUCUCAAGUACUUAAGGAUACACUUUACUGCUUUCCAGUGCUCCAAGUCUGGAUCCACCUGAUACCUGCUCGUGACACUCAGAGCAUGCACUAUAUCAGGUCUAGUACAUAGCAUGACAUACAUGAUAGACCCUAUUGCUGAGGCAUAAGGUAUCAUAUCCAUGUUCGCCCUUUCUUCUAGAGUCUUUGGGGACAUACUCGUAGAAAGCGAUAUCCCAUGUCUCAUCGAUAUGAGACCUCUCUUGGAAUUUUUCAUGUCAAACCUUUUGACAAUGGUUUCUAUGUACCUAGAUUGGGAUAAGCCAAGCAUCCUCUUGGAUCUAUCUCUAUUGAUUCUAAUCCCUAAGAUAUAGGAUGCUUCCCUUAAGUCCUUCAUGGAGAAGUGUCUAGAUAACCAAGUCUUUACUGUGGAUAGCAUUCCUACGUCAUUCUCAAUGAUUAGGAUGUCAUCCACAUAUAACACCAAAAAGGUGAUAGCGCUCCCACUUACCUUCUUGUACACACAUGACUCAUCUUCGUUCUUAACGAAGUCAUAAGAUAUGAUUGCCUCAUCAAAUCUUAUGUUCCAACUUUGGGAAGUUUGCUUUAGUCCAUAAAUGGAUCUAAGCAACCUACACUUCUUAUCUGGGCAGUUCUUGGAUACGAAUCCAUCAAGUUGUAUCAUAUACACCUCCUCCUCGAGGUUCCCAUUGAGGAAUGUGGUUUUCACAUUCAUCUGCCAGAUCUCAUAAUCAUAGUGUGCUGCAAUAGCCAAUAGAAUUCUGAUGGAUUUUAGCAUUGCUACGGGUGAGAAGGUUUCGUCGUAGUCAUUACCUUGCCUUUGACGAUACCCCUUAGCCACUAGCCUUGCUUUAUAGGACUCUACCUUUCCAUUUACUCUGAUCUUUUUCUUAAAGAUCCACUUGCAACUGAUGGGUACAAUACCUUUGGGUGCAUCAACUAGGUUCCAAACCUUGUUGGAGUACAUAGAAUCCAUCUCAGAAUUUAUGGCUUCUUACCACUUCCCAGAGUCUAUACUCAUAAUAGCCUCCUCGUAGGUCUGAGGAUCAAUAUCCUCAAUAUCCUCUCCUCUAAUAUAUCCCACAUAUCUCUCAAGAGGAUGGGAUACUCUAUCAGACCUACGUAAAGUUGAAACUUAUGUAUUAGGUACCUAAACAAACUCGAGCUGUAGAGUGGUGCUUGAGCUUGAUUCUCCAACCUCGCUCAACUCUAUCAUUCUCCUACUAUUUCUACCAAGAAUGUGUUCAUUCUCAAGGAACACUACUCUCUUAGCUACAAAGACCUUUUGGUCCUCGAGAUGAUAGAAAUAAUACCCAUAAGUUUCCUUGGGAUAUCUCACAAAUUUGUAUCGCUCUGUCCUUGAUUCUAACUUAUCGGGGUUGUGUCUUUUAACGUGGGCAUGGCAGCCCAAAAUCUUAACAACCUUAAGAUCAGGCUUCUUUCCUUUCUAUAUCUCAUAUGGUGUAGAUACUACCGACUUAGUUGGAACUCCGUUCAGAAGGUAAGCUGCGGUUUCUAGGGCAUAUCCCCAAAAUGAGAUGGGUAGGUCAGCGAAACUCAUCAUGGACCGUACCAUGUCUAAUAGCAUACGAUUUCUCCUUUAAGAGACACCAUUGAGCUGAGGUGUAUAAGGAGGUGUCCAUUAGGAUAAUAUCCCAUGGUCCUUGAGGAACUGAAUAAAGUUUGUACUUAAGUACUCACCUCCUCGAUCUGAUCGAAGAGUUUUGAUACUCUUUCCAGUCUGGUUCUUCACCUUAUUCUUAUACUCUUUGAAUUUCUCAAAGGCCUCGGACUUAUACUUCAUUAAGUACACAUAUCCAUACCUUGAGAAAUUAUCAGUAAAAGUAAUGAAGUAGGAGUAACCACCAAUGGCAUGAGUUGACAUGGGUCUACAUACAUCACUAUGUAUAAGUUCCAACAGCUCAGUGGCUCUCUCUCUCUAGUUCUACUAAAUGGAGAGUUGGUUAGUUUUCCACGAAGGCAAGGCUCGCAAGUUGCAUAUGACACAUAGUCGAAUGGAUCUAGAUUUAGCAACUUUUAAAUCCUUCUUUCAUGGAUGUGAUUUAGCCUACAAUGCCACCGGUAUGCACUGUUCAUCUCAUCUCGUUUCCUCUUAGACACAUUUACAUUCAUGAUAUGUACCUAAAGCUUCAUCAAGCUUUUGUUUCGCCCUUUCUGCAAUGUAUUCUUUACAGUUCCUCUUCCAGUGCCCAUCUUUACCAUAGUGGAAGCACUGGCCUUUGUCCUUUGCUGGGUCUUUCUUAGCAACUUUUGCUUUACCUGGUCUGCCCUUGCCCUUUCCCUUCUUAAGGGACCUUUCUGCUUUCCUUUUCUUUUUAGUCUCACUAGUGUAGAGAACUGACUUCUCUUUCUUAAUAGUACUCUCUACCUCCCUCAACAUAUUGAGGAGCUCUGGGAGAGUCACAUCAAACUUGUUCAUAUUAAAAUUCAUUAUAAAUUAUAAAAAAGAAUCUGGUAGGGACUGAAGCAUAAUGUCCAUACACAAGUUAUCCUCUAGGACCAUUCCUAGACUUGUGAGUUUCUCUAUCCACUCAAUCAUCUUUAGGACAUGGUUUUGAACCGGUGUCCCCUCAGUCAUCCUAGCGCGGAAGAGGCUCUUGGAUAUCUCAUAUCGCUGAGUCUUUCCCUGUUCCUCAAACAAUUUGCAGACAUGUAGGAGAAUGGAUCUGGUAUCCAUCUUUUCAUGUUGUCUCUGUAACUCAGGAGUCAUAGAGCCCAACAUAUAGCACUGAGCAAGAGUGGAGUCAUCAAUGUACUUCAUGUAGCGAGCAAUCUCAUCCUUGCUUGCCCCUUCUUCAGGCGUAGGCAUCACUGUAUUAAGGACGUACACGAUUUUCUCUGCCGUGAGAACAAUUCUCAAGUUACGGAGCCAAUUCGUAUAAUUUGGACCAGUGAGGUGGUUGACAUCAAGUAUGCCACGUAAGGGAUUUGAAAGCGACAUUUUCUAAAAAUAAAGAUGCAGUAGAAAUGAAUAACAUGCAUAUUUUGCAAGAAAUAAACUAUCAAGAUAUGGACUUCUAUCUUAAUAUGCUCCCAUUUACUAACGAGUCACGUGACACCCUCAGCACGUGAAACGGAAGUCUCCGGUAGACUUCUAGUGGGGAUCAGGAUCCAAUCAGCGUCUUAGUGUAACCUCGAGGGACUCGACCAAUCACACUAAGCCUAAAAGGUAGGCAACUCUUGCCGAUCACAACUCCUUGUGAUUCCCGUCCUGUUCGGCCUCUGAAUCACCAUGGUCUUGAGGGACUUGACUAACCAUGAUGCUCGGUUAAGUCAACACCUUCGUUACAAGAUGAGUCUGAUUUGAUGAUAUACCCUCGAGGGACUCGACCAAACAUACCAUGUCCUUAGGUCACCGAUGACAUCUCUAUGCCGUAAGCAAGAUAGUGAAUCGCGAUAUAGGUGAGUCUCGAGGGAUUUGACCAACUCAACCUACACCGGGAAUCGGUUCCUACUUAUAACGAUGGAAGGCCACGUGGGUCAAUCUAAUUGCCUCACGUUUACCGAUUUAAUAUUAUCGAGAGAGAUAUUUCUAUGAUUUGGUCUCCUAAUAUGACAUGUCACACAUAUACAUAUUUAAUAUAUAUCUACAUCGCAUGCAAAUAUAUAUACAUAUCUAGUAUGUGUAUAAGCAAUCACACCAGAUGAUCAUAGACCAUAACCUAAUGUGAUUAGGCUUGAGCCAAUAGGCCUACCUACUCACAUCAAGAUCUAUAUGUGCAACGGUGCAUCUUCAUGUCCUGUGAUCGUCCAUCUCAUCCUCGUCGGUUCUGUCGACAUCUCGAUGCAUCUUCAUGCAUCGCGAUCGUCCGUCUCGUGGGUCCCGCUAUCGCAUCCACGCUCCCGCUGCGUUUCAUCAUGUGAUUACAAUUUAAUCAUAGGCACGCAGGCCCAACAAUAAAUGAGAAAUAUAAUGGAGGCUCGUAGAUCCCAAUAAUAAUAAUCACAAGUACACACAUUACACAGUCCAUGAUCAUCCGUCCACACAUCAUACAUCACAUGUAUAAAUAAUCAUCAUCAUGUAGGACUACUAGAUAAUAAUAAAAAUAAUAAUCAACUAAACCUUUUAAUUAAUUAGUAUUUUAUGAAAUCAAGGACAUAUAAGGAAUAUCUUAAUUCCUAAGGGUAUUUUUAUAAUUUAGGCAAAAGACAGAAAUUGGAAUUUCUCAAAUUCCGAGGGGCAAAACUAUCUUUUGCCCAAAAACCCUAAUGCCCUCAUCCUCCCUUGUUGUUGCUGUUGUCGCCACCUCCGCCACCCCUGCCGGCAGUGGGCUGUGCGGCGGAGGGCGGGGUCGCUGCCCUCGCCUACAGGCGGCACACCCGCUGGCGGCGCUGCCCCUGCAAUUGGGCGCCCCCGCGGGCGUCGCCGCCUCCGUGGGUGGGCGCCCUUGUGGGCGUCGUCCCCUCCGCGGGCGGUUCUGCCUCGCUGAGCGGCCGCCCCUGCUGGGUUUUUACUCGCGGGAGCAGCGGCCACAGGCGUCACUGCCCUGCGGCGCGUGGUGCCGCUGCCCUUGUGGUUGCUGCUGUAGGCUGCCUGCUUGCACGCAGAUGGCAGUGCUGCCAUCUGCGACGGCAACGAGGGCAGCAACAGUUGCUGCCCUUUUCCGCUUUUGAGUCAACGAUUUUGACGUCAAAAGCUUCUCCAAAACACAACACACCAGUUUAAAAACAAUCUAUCGCACGAACAACCUGGCUUUGGUACCAUUGUUGGGAAAAUCUUUGGGGGCGACAUCAUAUGCGCAGCGGAAGAACAAGAAAACAAAAUCCCUGAUUCCCAAAGAUAUAUUCAUCGUCGUGCGAAGAUUGGUGCGAAAAAUCUACGAAACUGAAAAACUGCGUAUAGAAUAUAUUGUGUUACCUAAGGAGAUCGUAUAUCCUUGUUUCCUUGUAGAUCCUUAGGAGAGGGUGAAGAAGGUCAAGCGUCCUCCUCUCUAGCAGUGAUCCAUAUAGCAAGGUUGUGACGACGCUCCUAAAAAACUCCAGGCCUGCUCUGAGGUGGAGAGGGGAAGGAGAAUAGGAGAGGCAAGCAAAUGCUCUAGCCUAUGAGGCUCUGAAUCCCUCCUAUUUAUAGAGGUCCCCUGUCAAACCCUAAUGGAUCCUCGCCUAGUGGGUAUUAGAUCUGCAUCCAAUAACCCAAGCCUUUUAGAUUAGUGGAUCUCUAUCCAAUAAUCUCUCAUGGGCUAUAAUUGGAUCUCGUCCAUGGGAUCCAAUAAUUCAGGGGCUUAUUAGAUAUCCAAUAAGACAAGGACUCCGUCGAAUAUCUCAUAUCUGAACCUCUACUCAUCGCAAUGCCUACCAUAUGUGUGUGACCCUCUAGGCCCAAUAUCGAGCUGGCCGUGAGUCAUAUCUAUCAGAACUCCUUCUAACUCAGUGAAUUAUUAUCUCUGUAAUAAUUCACUUGACUCAUCGACUAUGGACGUACUAGGCCACUACGCCGUAGUCCCUAGACGAUUCAGGGGAAUCCAAUCCAUUGGACCGGUCUGUCCUCAGUUACCGUGUACCUAUAGUCUCUCAUCCAUCUAAUAUCCCAGAGACCGUAUAUCGAGCAUGGUGCUGUUAGACCCAUACGGUUUUUACUCGAGUCUCGCUCUAAUCGGAUUCUCUUGGAGAACUCUUUCUCUCUCAACCCGAAUGACCCUGGCCAGGGAUUUGUCUGAGCAAGAACACAUGGGAUAUUCCUCUCAUUACGCCGAGAGUGGAUGAUCCUCUAUCGACACUCAAUAGCCCUCGUAAGGUCGACUACCACUCCCAAUGACCAACUAUACUAGAUCUGGGACAAUCAAACAUAUAAGUCUGGUAUCAAAGAGUGGAACACUCAUACAGGACAUCAUUGGUGUCUCAAGUCUAAGGACCAGAUAUACCACUAGGACUACGGAAUCGCUGUCUGACAAUAAGGCAUCAUCAACCAUCUAGCAUUCCGUAAGCGGAUCAAUCAAUGAACUCAUUCCAAUGAGCACCUGUAUUGUAUCCCUAGUGUCCCUACACGAGCAGCUAUGAGACCAGCUACAUCCAUCAUAUGGACGGGUAUACAACACACCAGUUUGUCCGGUUAUCACGAUGUCCCUCUCGAGUAACCUAUGACUGAGAUUAUUUAAGAUAUGUGUUUAAAGGUGAAUCGAUCUCAUUUUCAUGAUCUCAUCACGAUCCGAUUUCCAUUGCACAAAUCCAAAGACAUCACAAUAUAUAUAUAUAUAUAUAUAUAUAAAGUGAUAUAUGCCAAAAUAUAAUAAGCAAAAAGAUUCUGUAUCAAGUCACACGUGUCAUCACUCACGUGAUUGGCUUGCUGGGCACCUAUGACUAGCAAUCUCCCACUUGACCUAAAGUCAAUCACCUAUGUGUCUGAUCUCCAUCAGACCCUGUGACGCUCAAAGACAAUCUGAGAGGUGGACUUAGAGGAGUGCUACAAUGCCAUAGAGGCAGAUCUACUAAUCACAGAGAAAGGAACGCAAAUGCUAGAUGACAAAUAGUAGGGCUAAGGACACAAUAGCACCAUGAUGCCGUGAAGGUGAGACUUCCAUGGUGUCAUUGUUCUCUUACUUUCAUGGAGGGAGGGUGUAUGGUCGUGAAAGGGGCUAAGGAGGUGCAAAAUGCAAAUAUAAACUUCUAGUACCAAAAUAAGAUCCAAGGAUAGAGGCUAGGGAACUUCGUAAGACCAGUAUCGAUGAGCUUCUCAUCAAGAUAGCCGAAAGUAUGAGACUUUGGAUUUAUGUAGGAGUGCUCGACAAAGGAACAAAAUAGACAGUACAUAGUGUUGUACCCUUUCUACUCAGAGAAGUAAGCGAUAAAAAUGAUAAAGAAGAUGGUACAAUCCCAAAGGUAAUUAAAAUUAUCGGAGACUUGCUCCAACUCGAGGUAGAAUUUUACUUAUUUUGGGGCAAAACUUCUUACAUUCCGAUGGCAACGAGGAGAUAAAUUACAGUAGUUAACUCAAUGCAAUGAGUGUAAACACCUCAGGUCCUUUAGUAUUAUGAGGAAAAAGUAUGUGUAAACUAGUAACCAACUUGAUACAUGAAGUAUAACCCUUGAGAAGGCAAGCAAGACAAAGCCAAAUAAUCUUUACCCUAUCAACUCUUAAGAAAAUGGGCGAGUACUAAGUAGAAAAUCCUUACACAUGUUCAAAGACCUUUUGAAUAAACUUAGCAGAAGAUAACAGUUGUCAAAUCCUCACCAAUGUUGAUUGAUUUCACUAAGAGUAGAUUGUCCACUUCAUUUUUCAACAGAAUGUCAACUGAAAAUGAAAGUGAUGCGAAACUACUUAGAGGCAAUAAUUAAAUAAAAGGUGAAUCAAUGAACAAAUUUUAUGAGGGAAAGACAUCAAAAACUUCAAAAUCUGUAAGGCGAUACUCAUUAAAGCUCUAAUAGGUAUCCAUCCAGUUUAAGCGAUGCAAGAUGUUUGAGAGACUGGUGUACAAUAAGGAAUAUAUUUUCCUUCAUCUGAGAGAUCCAUAGGAACCAACAAAGAUCAUCACAACUCGAUUGAUAACACAUCAAAAUUAGAGUCUUUGGCAAGUUGAAGCAAUGUCGGCGAAUCAAAGUUCGACUGCUUAACAACAGUGCUAAUGAGCAGCUGAGAGCUAAGAGAUGAAUUGCAAUUGAAGUAGAAGAUUAAAGAUUAUAUAAAGUCGAGGAGAUGCAGCAUCUGUAAAUGCUUCAACGAGGAUGUCAAAGGAAUAAGUGGGGAAGAAUGUCAUAGACAAAUCUAUACCAAAAGUGUUCAAUGUAAUAUUUGUAUAUAUCCAUAUCUUUUGAUUUUGUUUAUGCUUUGUACAACAUUUAAGGAUUUACAAUAGACUUGACAACCCCAUUUUAGCUGACUUUUAUGAUCAUCUUAGUUUUGUAAAUACAAAUUAUGUAUAAUCAUCGUGCAAAAAUAAAACUAUCCAAAAAUAGACUAACCAAGCAAUCAUUUUCUAACUCCGUAAAGUGGUGCGGAGUAUCAACCCACACAGCACCCCAGAUCUACCUGUAUAGCACUUGACUGGAUAAGCCUUUGAGGUAGUGUCUAGAGUUGAUUUAUUGUUUUGUUUUGUAGCAGUGUCAUAUGUCUUUAUUUUAUUUUGUUGAGGACUUUUGAUCACAGCGUACCACAUUGAACUUUUUGUCAUAUGACUAUUCAAGGUUUACAAAGUCUAUAUUUAUAAUUUGUAUUAUAUGCUAGUGGAAUCCAAAGUUCAAAGCUUUCUCUAAUUGUUUUUAUUUAACGGAAGUUAAUUCUUUACGGAUGGACAUACAAGAUAAACGUACAAUUUAGGUAAAAAAAUUUAAAUCCAUAAGAACCCAACAUACUAGACUGUACCGGAUAUGAAAUUGCAAACUUUAGCUAACGACUUAUUUGCUGGUAAAGAUACGGCUAAGAAAGCUGACUCGUGACUAAUUCUAUUUGCUAGUCUUUUACCGAAACACUUUACCUAAGUGUUUAUUUUAAGCCUCAAUUGAGAUGGGCAUUGUGCUAUUUCUUUUGGUAUAAUAUCAGACUGAAUCCGUUGUUGAGAUGACUAUCUGAAAACAAUGUGCUCAGUGCUUGCAGUCAACUGCCAUGUCUUAUCAGUACCGCAAAUUAAGCACAACAAUAUGCCUUCUUGAAGCUUACUUGAGAUGAGUCUCAAAUGUGCAACAGCUGUACAUCUUUUAUUGAUUGGCAUACAAUUCUCAGAAUGCAUUCUCCCAUGUUGUGCUUGCUCUUGCAAACACAGUUGUAUGAAGCUGGAUGUUCUUAUUCCUCCCUUGAGGGAAGGAAAGGGGCUUUAGAACUUAUUCCAGUGAAUCCUACAAUAAGCUGGAGAAAGCCACAGCUGCACAGGAUUGCUUUAUAUUUGGGAAGCAACAGAUCUGCAUCUAAGCAAGUUGAUGUGGAGAUUUGAGCAUGGUAAAAAGAGAGGGACCUCACACUCAGAAGAUUUGCAUCACCAUCAGGAUCGGUGUCAUCACCGAUCGCUCUGUGACAUUCCUUUCUGCUAAAUAUCAUGGUGAAUUGAUCUGACACUGGUUGUAGCAGGACCAUGUUGACAUGCAAUUUGUUGGUCCCCUUUCUUUGCCUGACCAUGUCACAUGAGAGAGUGCAUGCAUCCAGACAACACCGGUGUAGCUCCAUGUCCAUUAUGCAUUGAGCAAGAUCCAGACAACAUUGGUUGGACCAUCUUACCAGCGAAUGAUCCUAGAUCAAUCGUUAUAUCAUCUCUCUCUCUCUCUCUCUCUCUCUCUCUCUCUCUCUCUNNNNN